rnacentral:lncRNA from 1 species
GAGAAUGGAAGGUGCUAGAAGUAUGCUAAGCUAAUUCUACCAUUUGGGAUUGAGAUUAAUCUGCUCAAACUCUUAUGUAUUGAGGUGAUAUCUUAUAUUAAAAUAUUCAGUUCUUAAUUGAUUAUUGGUAUUGUGAUUUUACUUUUAAUUUUUCGUGACAAAUUGAGAAUCUUAAAUCUGACUGGAAAGUAUUUUUAGGGUUCUGACCUAAACAACAAUACUUAACAUAUUUGAGUGCUAGGAAUAGACUUAAAAUCCAUAUUUUUCCAAUUGAAGCAACUAAUUCUUUUCUUGUUUUUAUUAUUGAUCAAUGUCAACAUAACCAACUCAAAACUUUUUUUUAUUUUUCUGUUGUUAUAUUUAGCGAAUAUUGUACUUGAUAAUUCACUGUUCCUUGUGGGAUCGAUAUCUGUCCUUAGGGACAAUUAUUACUUUUGACAAACGCGGUGCACUUGCCGUAAAAAGUCAUUAGCCACCCAAGCAAUUUUCUUACCAUCCUUCCCCCAACCCCAUGUAUUUUUUUAAUAAACAAGACCACAUACAUUGACAUCCUGAAAAAAGAAAUAAAAAAAGGGGAAUAGAAGAGAUAACUGACCUUAAUAAACAAACUCUGCCAGCCAUAGAUAAGAACUUCCUUUGAGCCCAGAAGCCAACUCAAAUUGACCUUGAGCCUAGAAGCCAACUCAAACCAACAUAAUAUAGAUUUGAUCACCAUUAUGUUUUGUGGGCUAUCCUUGCAGAAGAAGAGAGCAUCGUCGACAAAGUGCAACAUGUUAACCUUUACACUUUUAUACCCAACCUCCACACUUUGAAGCAAAUCCUUGAUGACUGCUUACCUGACCGCUCCUGCCAAACCCUCAGUCACUAUUAGGAAUAAAAAGGGAGCAAGGGGAUCACCCUGUCUAAGACCCUUUCUAGGUUUGAAUUCCUUUUUUGGACUCCCAUUUACAAGGAUUUUGACACAUAAGCGAACUCUAGGCAUGCUUUUAUCCAUCUAAUCCAUUUACCCCCAAACCCAAGCAUGUCUAACAUAUAAUAUAGAAAAUAUCAAUGCAUUGAAUCAUAUGCUUUUCAUAAUCAACCAUUAGGAGUAAACACGAUGAUUUCUUUCUUUUCACUUCCUCCAAGGUUUCAUUUGAUAUUAACACACUGUCUAAAAGGCCCCUCCCCUCUGUUUCAUCAUGGUUGAUGAGAGAUGAAUGGCACAACUCGUGCCGAUAGGAGCUUAGACUGAAAGAAAGGAAAGAUGGAUCAUAACAACUUUACUGUGAUAUUAAUGAUUUUUUUUCUUUUUCAUUUUUGUUAGUUCAUUUUAAGAGUGAAUAUUCCUCUCUUUCGUCCUUUUCGGAAUUAACUCUGAUUUCUAGGAAACUAUUUCAACAAUUAAGAGAUGCCAAAUUUAUAAUCGGACUAUGAUACACUUAAUUGAUAAAUAAAAAAAAUAUAGUAGGAAUCACAUGUCGUGGGGAUGAACAAGAGGUAGUCGAGGAAUAUUCAAACCUGGAAGUAAGAUUUGGAGAUCAUGAAGAGUGCGGAGGAGGGAAAGAAGGAUCGGUUUUUAUGAUUAUAGUCAAUCUAAACAUAAGAGGGCUGGGGGAAGGUACCAAAGCUAGGUAUAUGAGACAUAUUAUAGACGGGAGGAAGUUGAUUUUGUCUGUGUACAAGAAACAAAGUCUAAAGAGUUCUCGGAUGCUAGAUGUUUUGCGUUUUGGGGGGAUAACAAAGUUGGUUGGAUCCACAAUAAAGGAGAUGAAGGCAGUGGAAGUUUGUUGUCUAUGUGGCAUAAGGAAGUUUUUGAUUAUGAAAGUCACGUGAUGGGAACUAGUAUAUUGCUAUUUAUGGCCAACACCUAAAAACUUCCUCUAGGUGUGUAAAACAGACAUCGCACGUAUUGGCCUGGUGCCUCUGUGGAGAUUUUAAUGUUGUGAGAAGUAGAAACGAGAGGAAAGGCAUCAGGGACAGGGGUGAACAAACAAGCGAAGUAACUGGCUUUAAUAGCUUCAUUGACUCCAACUUUUUUCUAGAUUUACCUCUGGUGGGCAAGAAGUUUACGUGGUUUAAACCAGAUGGAACGGCUAAGAGUAGAAUUCAUAGAGUGCUUAUUACUGAGGAUUGGCUAUACUAUGGCCCAAGAGUAAACAAUAUGUCCUUCGAAGGGAAGUGUCAGACCAUUGUGCACUGGUAGUUAAGUCUGUGGAGAAGAACUGAGGUCCAAAACCGUUCAGAACCAUAGAUGCUUGGCUGUUCGAGAGAGGUUUUAGCAGGAUGGUGAAGGAGAAAUGGCAGUCUUACUCUAUUCAGGGGAAUGGCUUAACGAAAUUUAAAGAAAAACUAAAACUCCUCAAGCAAGAUCUGAAAUCUUGGAACAUGGAUGUGUUUGGAAACCUUGAUACUUCCAAGAGGAGGAUCCUACAGGAGCUGGAGGCUCUUGACAGCCAAUACUACUCUGGUGGCUUAGCGAAAUGUGAGAGGUUGAGAAGACUGGAGUUGGUAAGUCAUCUAAAAGAGAAUGAUAAGAAACUUGAAUCCCUUAGCUGUCAAAAGGCAAGAGCAAACUGCUUUAAGAGUGGGGACUCCUGUACUAGAUUCUUUCACUCAUCUUUGAGGUGGAGAAGGCUAAGGAAUGAAUUGAAGGGUGUCCAGGUGGGGGAUCAUUGGUGUGAGGAACCUUGUACGGUCCGUUUAGAGGCGAAGAAGUUAUUCGAAUAUAGAUUCAGAGCAACGAAAGAUCUAGGGGUAAGACUGGAUGAAGUCGAGCUCAAGUCUUUAACCACGACUGAUAAUGAGGGCUUCAUAGCUGUAUUUUCAGAGAAGGAGAUUAGGGAUGCAGUGUGGCAGUGUGAUGGAUCAAAGAGCCCCGGACCAGAUGGGUUCAAUUUGAAUUUCAUUCGGAAGAACCGGGAGUUUAUAAAAGAUGAGAUCUUGGCAGCACUGACUUUGUUUCAUGAGACUGGGAGUAUCCCGAAGGGUUGUAAUGCUUCCUUCAUAGCUUUAAUCCCUAAAGUUAGGGACCCCUCUAUGCUGGAGCAUUAUAGACCUAUCUCACUAGUUGGAGCCUUAUACAAAAUCAUAUCUAAGGUGUUGGCUAGUAGAAUGAAGAAGGUGUUACCAUCCUUGAUAGAUGAAAGCUAAUCAACUUUUGUAAAAGGAAGAGGGAUCUUAGACAGUGUGCUUAUGGCUAAUGAAAUGGUAGAGGAACUUAGAAGGAAGGGGAGAAGAGGGCUUUGUCUAAAGGUGGACUUCGAAAAAGCAUAUGACUCGGUUAGAUGAGAUUUCUUUUAUGAUACUCUUUUUCUUUGUGAAGACUCCCUUAAUAAUGUGAUAACUUUGAAGGCCAUCCUAAGGGGCUUCGAACUAGCCUCAAGACUGAAGAUUAACUUCCAUAAGUCAAAGCUAGCAGACAUCAAUGUUCAAAGUAAUUCUCUAGCUUGUUACACAAAGACUCUGAACUGUACACAUAUGGGGAUACCGUUUAAGUAUUUGGGAAUUGAAGUGGGAGGAAACCCAAGGAAGGAGAAAUUUUGGGAACCUGUCAUUAUUAAGAUAAAAGCUAGGCUCAGUGUGUGGAAAGGUAGAUUCUUGACUUGGCAGGGAGAAUUUGCCUUAUUAAAUCUGUCAUUACUGUCAUACCCUUGUAUUAUCUCUCCCUUUUCAGAGUACCGGACUUAGUUUGCAAAAGGAUUACUAGUAUCCAAAGGAGAUUCUUAUGAGGUUGGGGUAAAGCGAAUAAACCAAUCUCCUGGGUAAGUUGGAAAGAUGUUUGUAGACUUAAGGAGGAGGGAGGCCUGGGUUUAAAAGAUAUACGAAAGUUUAAUCAUGCCCUCCUAGCAAAGUGGAUAUGGCGUUGUAUUUCUCAAGAGGAAGGAAGGUGGAAGGAGAUUUUGGCCUCAAAGUAUGGUUUGGAGAUCGAAAGCGCACAAACUUCUAUUAAAUUUCAGUUGUGGCGGUGGAGAGACCUUAAUAAACUAUGUAAGGAGGGAGGAGGAAAAGGAUGGUUCCAGGAAGAAUUAAGUUGGGAACUAGGUUGUGGGGACAAAGUAAAAUUCUGGGAGGAGGUGUGGAUUGGAAGUACUAAUCUCAAAUCUUUGUUUCCCAAAUUGUACUCCCUGUCCCUAAAUAAGGGCCAAACAGUGGGUGAGGUAGGUGUUUGGGUUAAUUCAUAAUGGAGGUGGAAUCUGGGGUGGAGUCCGCAAUGGAAGCAGAUCUUAUGCUUUUAACUGGGGCUAUAAUGAAAAAGAAUGUCAAGGAUGUGCAGGUGUGGGGGAAGGAAGUACCAGGGUUAUUUUCUGUGAACUCUGCUUAUGAAUGCUUAAGUAAGCAAUCUAGAGGCCCUUGCUUAGAAGUCUUCAAACUCCUCUGGAAGGCUAAGGCAUUCCCAAAUGUGGUGAUGACUGCUUGGAGGGUGUUGCUGGGUAGAAUCCCAACAAGGGUGAGUUUGAGUAGGAGAGGCGUCACGGUGAACUCUACGCUAUGUGCAAUGUGUCAGUCAAAGGAGGAGUCAUGCCAACAUCUUUUUCUGGAGUGUAAAUAUGCUCAAAGGGUCUGGUCGCUGUGCUUCAAAUGGAUAGGUGUAUCUUUUGUUCAACAAAAUGUCUUAAAUUUGCACUUCCUUAGAUUUUAUCUGAGCCAAACCAGUAAUAAGAAAAAUCUGGUAUGGAAAGGUGUCUGGGCAACUAUUAUUAGAUGUAUUUGGGAUCAAAGGAACCUGAUUGUUUUUAAGCAAGGGGUAGUUGAUGCGGAGGAGGUGUUUCAGAAGGCUCAACUCAAAUCUUGGCUCUGGAUGAAGCAUAAGGUGCACUCCUUUAACGACUCGUACGUCGACUGGGUUCUCAACCCAAUGCUAUGCAUUAGAGGCUAUAAGUAGGGCUCACAGGCGUCAAGCUUUAUUAGGAUUCUGGUGUAGUAUGAUGGAAUGGGAAGAGGGUUGCACUCAUUACUCCUGAGAUGUUAUGUUGCAGGUGCAGGGGUCCUUAGCGCAUCAGUUUUGUCUCUUAUGGAAUAAGGUCAUGACUUGAGUCCUGGAGCUGCGGUUGAGGGAAGUAGAGAUGAAGGAGUAACAAAUCUAAGCCUAGGCUAGAUCUGUGGCUUUGUUGCUUGUGAUGUCGGUUCUGGUUCUUCUGUUUUAUGGUAUUUCUGGUAUUUAUGUUGGUUCUGGUAUUUCUAUGCUCAAAAACAGAAUGUUGGGAUACUCACGAAAUCACAGCAGGUUACCACUUUGUUCAGGAAUCUAGAUGUUCAAUGGGACCGUGGAAGCUAUCUUUGUGGUCCAGUCAGGGGCAAGUGUAUCUGGUUUUAUGCACACUGGGAGAGGUCUUGCAGUGCUGGAGGAAUGUUGGUAUCUAAAGGCUCCAUUUGCAUCCAUUAAAAGUGGUAGUGUUUGCCUUGCAGGAGUAAUAGAUGGAGGGGCCCCAGGUGCUGUUACCACAGUCCCAACCUGUCGGUCUGCAUUGAAGAAGGGUAGGGGAGUAAAUUGGAGGCUGGUCUGAAGUUUAGGGUGUGCUGGUAUGGAAUCUUGGUAAGCACACUUAAGCAACAUUUGUGUUGGUCUGCAUUAUAGGGAAAUGCUGGAACCAAAGUGUGACAAUCAGAGCUAUUGAGGUUUUAUGGCUAGGGAGUGUAAAAAUCAUGGACUAUUUCAAGACACAUCAGCUCUUGAAGAAGUCACUUCAGGCUUACGUUUUCAGCCUGAACUUCAAGUAGAGAAGUAAGGAAAGGUAGAGAAGUUAUAUGGACAGAAGGUAGAGGUUUAUAUGAGCGGCUGGAGGCAGAUGCAUGAGUUUGCUACACUCUCAAGAAUCUACGCAGCUGUGAUGCCUGAUUGGUUUGGUGGUGAUCAGAAUAUGGAGCUUUGGUCAAGUAGUAGUAGUUGUGGUAAAGUUUUGGUUUAGCACACAAGAGGACGUAAGAUGGGCAGGUUAACGGUGUCUUGAAGCUGUUAUGAUGUAAGAAGCCUAGGCUUGGACACUGCUGUAGACCAUUAAAGAGGAGAGAGUUGCAAAAGAGAGUGGAUGUUUGGUGCGGUAGAAGCAGGGGAUAUUUUAUCAAAGAAAGGUGGAAAUUCUUGGCUUAUGCUUGGAGCUCAGCUUGGUGCACUGGUAGGGGGGAUUACUGGUGCUGGAUGGUGUUCCUGGCAAGAGCCAAUCACGUGCAACUAGUGGUCUCACAUGUGUAAGGAAGCAUUAGUGGUGUGGUGGGGAUCCAGACAUGGAAUUGAUGGAUUUUUUGCAGCUGGGACGGGCAUGGUGCGAACAUGUAGUGGGCUUACAGAUAGACAUGCUGGAAGGUUUUUUAAGCCAAGCUGGAAGGUGGAUUUCAAGGCCUUAACAUUUGACUUUUCUGUGGAGUUACUUGGUUGUUAUAGGGUGAAGCCAAUCUUCAAAAUGGAGCAACUGAAGACGCUGUAGAAAGUUAAUGAGUUGAUGGAGGUAGCUAAUUUUCUCGGUGUGUUUUGGUGGUAUUGAAGCUGCAGAUUGCAUCUCUAUAGCAGCUCAAUAGAGGCAGGUGCUGGCUGGUGCAGGGUGUUUAGUUUAUGCAGUAAACAACACAUAUUUUCUUCAUUCUCAGUAUUCUUUCUUUUAUUUGGUAAUCUCUUAAUGUGGUUUGGAUUGUGUAAAAGGGUUGGAAUACCCUUUUUUAUCCCUCUUAAUUUAAUUUCAUUCUUUGUUGAUAAAAAAAAAAUAGUAGUGAGCUAUGAAGAUAUUUUCUUACAAAUGUUACGUUGAACAUUUCUGUACGAAAUACUUGAAUGGUUUUCUAACGUCGCUGGAAAUUAAACAUUUUCACUGAUAUAGCAAAGACCAAUGCAAAAACAACUGUGAAUGCAACCAUCACAGCUGCAACCACUCCAAGAAAAUCAUGCUUGAAACCAAAGUAACUUCUCACAAAGCCUUCCACUGUUGUUGUCCCAUCACUGGAUUCAAUGCUUUGCUUUAUAUCUCCAUAUUGUGAAGCCAGCAAUCCAUACAAACUCCAAGAAAUUGGAUUUACCCAACUGAACCACCUCCACCAUACCGGGAUCCGCUGGUAUACCAUGCCAAAAAGGAAUAUUAUCCUAAAUUUGCUACCUUCUAUGCUUAGAGAGCAUGAAUCUACAGUGCACUAAAUAUGAAAGACUAAACUUACUGGCCGUGGGACUAUGAAUCCUGAGAAGAUAUUCCACACCGCAUAAAAUCCUGAAGAAACUAUAGUGGAGAUGUGUUCGUUAGGGGUCAAUGCCACUGCCAUCAUUCCAUAGUAGGUGAAGUAUAGGAAGGUAAAGUACAUGAAGAAUAGGCACCAGAAAAAUUUAGCCACAGUCCACUCAUAACCAAUCAUCGCAUAAAUUAUAAUGCUAUAGGCUACAGCUUGUCCAAGUACAUACGGGAGCUCAAUCAGAACCUGCAACAGAAAUAUAGAUUAGAAAGAAGGAAUGCAGAAAUUAAUAGAAGGAAUUGAUCGGGCUUGUACCUCCUGUUCUGGAGUUAUUCUAAGGCAUUACUGCUGCGAAAUCCCCUGUUUUCGAGUUAUAUGGUGUGGUGCUUUGGUACAGUAUAGGCGUGUGUGUGUUGGUGGCAAUGAGCUUAAGCUGAGUUUUUUUUUUCUGGCUUUUUAUGCAGGGUUGGUGGGUGUUUGGUGCCACUUGUGGCUGGUUUCUUUCUUUCUGUAGUGGCUUAUUAGGCUUUGCCUCCCCUUAUGUAUUCAAGGAAGGAUGGUGGUAGAAUAGUUUUCUUGAUGUUAUUCUGUUGUUCAAACACCCUUCUGUUAUUCUGUUUUAAUGCUUUUGGUUUAGCUGUUAAAAGCUUCUGAGUGUAUAAUUCUGUUUAAUCCAUGAGAGGGUGUAAUAGUUUUGGGUCUGCAUAUGGGUUGGGAUACCUCUGAAGUAUCUCUUUUAAUUUUAUUUAUUCAUUGCUGAUAAAAAAAAAAGAGGUAAAUAGAAGUAAUAAUUUCAAAUCCUGGUGAUAAUCACCUUAAUUACUAACAAAAAAAGUAUCAAUUACUUUUGGAUUUGACUCCUCUGAAGGAGUUACUUUCUUUAGAGUUUAGAGGUUGAAGUAACUAAUCCUGGUUGUUGACGAAAAACUUAAUGAAUAAAUUUCCAACACAUUCAUGAUUUUUAUGCAUGUAUACAUAAUAUUAACAGUUGGUUUUUCAUCAGUGAUUGAGAUCACUUAUUUUUCCUUUAUUUUCUAUAUUAAUUGUUGUGAACAUUAUGAUUUAGGAUCAAAUAACACUCAAAUAAAAGACAUAUAUUUAGAAAGUGGAAUUGCUUGCCUGGGCAAAAGCAUAUGGAAAAGCUGAAUACAUUCCAGCUGCUCUCUCCCUGUAAAAGACUGUCCGCUCAACAGCAACUACUGGCUGCACAGCACUAGAAUUCUUAAUACUAAGAAGGAUAACAGCAGCAUACAUGGAGCCCAUGACAUUGAAAAGAUCUUGUUGCUUUUCACUGCAAUAAUUGAUGGGAAAGUUUCAUGUUUGAUGAAACAGUCACAACAAAACAAAUGAGAUUCACAUGUCAAAGUUUUUUUGUUUGAUCUUACAUUUUGGAGCCAAGGUUCCAAAACAUGCUUCCAAGCAAAACAGCUACAGUAGUGGAGAAUAGAAAUCUUAAAACAGUGUAUUGAGAAUUGCGCCAGUAAGACCAAUGUUGUUUCCAUAAGCAAGCCAUGCAUUGGGUGAAGAAGGAAGUUGAGUACUGUGAAGAAAAAUAAAGGUCUUUUGAACCAGGAGAUGGAGUACUCAAUUCUUUAACAAGUGCUUUAGUUCUCCUAUGACAAAUGACAAAGACCAUAUAUCAACAACCACUCUACUUCUGAACUGAAAAUAGUUCUAAUAAUAAACAAAACAUUAUUGCCCUUUUAGACCUUAAGUGCUAUCUAUCCUAUUACUUUCGAGUCUCUAGUUUUAUUACACUAUACAACUGCAAAUACCUGUAUAACUCCGAAUUUUUAUACACCUCGGCAAAAUCAAUCUCCAAAUCCUUUUCUUUUGCUGAACUUGUGACUUCCAACAUCCAUGUUGCUGGAUUAUAGCCAUCUUUAAUCUUAUCGAUACCUUGGAUUUCCUUCAGAGUAAAAGCGUGACAUGAGUGAAACUUUUGCAUGAAGAUUGAUUUGAAACAAAACAUGAGUUCAGUAUUCCUCAUUUUCAUAUUUUCACCUCAAAGUAACUAAUUAAAUUGGAAGAACGAAGUCCAAGUGGCCCCGCAUAUAUCUCUUGCCCCCCUUGCUUCAUUAGAAAAAUCUGCAUUUUGUAGUGACAAAAGGUUAGAAACUUGGUUACGGAAAGCAGAGUAAACUUGGUACACUGAUUUUGUUUUUCACCUCAUCAAAUGAUUCAAAUAUGUCUAUGCUAGGCUGAUGGAUGGUACAAACAACUGUUCUUCCAGUGUCUACCGUGUUCCUAACCGUUCUCAUGACAAUAGCAGCUGCUCUUGCAUCUAGCCCAGAAGUUGGCUCAUCCAUGAAUAUUAUGGAAGGAUUUGCUACAAGUUCAACUGCAAUUGUCAACCUUUUACGUUGCUCUAUUGAGAGACCAUUAACACCUGGCAACCCUACUAAUGCAUGCCUUAGUGGUUUCAGUUCCACAAGUUCCAUGACUUCCUCAAUGAACAUCUGCAACCAUUAAUCAGCGUCAAACAUCGAGGUAUUUUUUUUGGUUUAAACACUUAUAAUUUUGUUUCCUUUGUUAUUUAGGACUUAAUAAUUCCAAUCAUGAAUGGUAAUAGAUUCUAAUUUUGGUUUUGGCGGUUACAAAUUACUGUGAAAAUUUGCUUGCAAACUCUAAGCCACAUUAGACAAGAAUGCAGAAUUACUGAAAUGGUUACUUCAUGGCAACCUCAAGUUUUCAAACUAGUUGGCAGCCUUUGUUAAACUACAAUGAAUUAGCAUGAAUGACUGUCAAAGACAUAAAAUUUAGAUACCAACCUUUCUGGUUUCAGCAUUGAUGUCUGGGGACAAUCUGAGCCAUGCUGAAUAAAGCAAGGAUUCAUACACAGUAACAUGAGGAGAGUGGAUGUCGUUUUGCUCACAGUAUCCUGAAAUUCUUGCAAAUGUUUCUUGCUUUUUCUGAUACCCAGAGAUUGUGAUAUUCCCUACAACAUAUCCUGCGGUUUUUCUACCAGCAAGUACAUCCAUCAGAGUUGUUUUGCCUGCUCCGGUGACACCCAUUAGAGCAGUGAGAACACCUGGCCUGAAGGAUCCACUGACACCCUUCAAAAGAACCAAUUUAUUCUCAACAACUCCUUGGUUCCUCAUUUCCUGCAAGUAUUUGAUAAUUUUUAAUUCACAUUAUAUGCAUGAGUUUUCAAAAAUGGUUUAAUUUUGUUUCUACAUUACCUGUGGCAUGUCCACAGCAUAUAUUACUUCAUCAAAGGUGAUAGAAUGUGGUUCAAAAGGAAGAACCAUUCCUCUAUAGCUAGUGGGAAAAGUAUGAGAAGAUGUAUUUCGACAUAUACCUCCAUCAUUUCUCACUAUGAAGUAGUUCCAGCGUUAUCCAUUAGACGUAAUGUGAAUUGAAAAUAUUACAAAUCUAAUGUUAUCUGUCGUUAAGAGAAGAAGUACCUUUAAUUGAGUGAUCAGUGAAGUUAUAUUUUAUGUAUCUCAUCGCAUUAAUUCCUUUAUUACUACCACCAUUUUGCUCAUUGUUUUCAAGUUCUUCGGAUAUAAAUGCAUGUUGCUUCCCGGGUGCUGAAAAAUCAAUUUUAUCAAAUUAAUAGAUAGAUUUACUUAGAUAUAUGGUUUAUUGAAUAUUUAAGCCGAAGACCCUCACUGCUCAAAUACGUAAGAGCAAGGAUGUAGCCAAAGUUAAAAAGUAAUGUAUAUCCAAUCAAAACCAGAACGCCUAUCCAAAACCAAUAUGAUUGGAUGAAGAAUCCCCGUGAUUUCAAAACUUCGAUUCCAAGAGGCUCCGUGGAGUUUGGUAGAACCUAUCGUAAAAAAUUAUGUUGAAAUAUGAUAUUAUUUAUAAUUAAAGAAGGCAUGCAGGUAUAUACUAUUUAAACUUACAUGCCUCCAUCUCUCUGCAAGGAACUCGUUAUUUACCAUAGCAUUCUGUCCGUACAUCAUAGGUGAUAUCCAGAAGCCCCAUAACCACCAUUUUUUUAUGUUGUCUGGAACCAUAAAGAGGACAACAAUGCAUUGUUAGUGUAGAACAUAAUGGAAAGCAUGGGAGUGGUCUAUUUUGUAUCCAUGGUACCUUUUGAUAGGAUAAAACCACUCGUACCAAAAAGGAAGGUCACUGUAAAUGACCCAAGUGCUAAAGCUGCAUCCAAUUCCCUCCCAACUCCUGCAAGAAAUCGGAAUAAUGCGGAAGCCAUCUGGUUCACCACUAAAAGAACAAGGUAUUGUCUAAAAAAUCUGCAUUAUGGAAACAUAAAAUGAAUGUUAUUUUUUAUUUUCAGGGUUCAAGUAGAAAAUGAGACUAGAAAGAUCAACGAGUAUGUGUAAACACAAAGUUGUUUUUACCUUCCAAUAUUUGGAUCAAAUCAAAUGACAUAGUAGGUUAGGAAUAGCCACACAGCAACUUCUAGAAAAGUUAUAGGGAUUUUUAGGAUCCAUGCAGGCAGAGCAUAUGCCCAUGAAGGAAAAAACAGAUUAUCCCUUUGCUUGUAGAAAACAGGAAGCUUUAAAACGACCAUGGGAAGUUCAGCAAGUCCAUUGAACAUAAUCACAGCAAGGCCAAAGAACAAUGCACCGACAUAUAUCCCGCCAUCAGUCACAGAGUCUCUGCGCAUCUCAGUCCGAAGGAAGAUGGUCAUGGCAAUAAAUGCCAUUACAGCAAGCUAAAUGGAGGGAGAAGCAAUGAGUAAGACAAUAAUAGCAUUAGAUGACACGACAAUAAAAUGAACCAUUCUAAUUCCCAAACCUACUUGGCUCCACCGGAAGAUGUAAACAAAUGAAUUGCGCUUCAUAAGUAAAUAUUCUCUUGAUAAGCAAGCUUUUAACAGUUCCCAUUUCCCCACUCCAAACUUUUUGGUUGUCAAAGCAGCUGGGUGACUCUUAGACCUGUCAAAUUCACUAUCAAGUUCUUCACGAAGACUUCUCCCAACAUGAAAUGACUUGAGUGCCUCUGAGAACUCUUUGGCUGUGACAAAUCUAUAAGGUUGAUCUUUGUGUGUGCAGUACUGUUCCUGGUCUUUCCUUGAUGUUACCUAUAGCAUAUAAUAAUCAAUGGUCACAAUUAAAUUUAUAAAACUCUCUUAUACCGGUGCACACAGAUUACAUCGUUGAGACAAUACAGAUGGACACUUACUUCUUGCAAAAAGUCUGCCACACCUUUCCUCUCAGGACAUUGAAAACCCAUUGAUUGGAAAAAUUGAAGCACAUAUUCGCGGGGACCCUGGUACACUAUAUGACUAUCAGAGAGUAGAAUAAUGUCAUCAAAAAGAUUGUAAGUCUCGGGCGCUGGCUGCAGGAGUGAGAUGACUGUUGUUCCUUUGAGAAUGUGAACACAUUGCUUGAGUGAAUUCACAAUUUGGAAGGUUGUUGAGCUAUCCAAACCAGUAGAUAUUUCAUCCAUGAAUAGAGCUUUAGCUGGUCCAACCAGCAUCUCUCCUGCAUUUACAAGUUUAUAAUGAUUAAAUUUCUCACAUAUAUACAUUCAUUUAAUUGAGUGCUGUAAACUUAGUACACUUCGUCAUUGAGAAAGGUUUUGUUUUACCUGUUGUAAGGCGUUUCUUUUGUCCACCAGAGAUUCCCCUUAACAUUGUAUUUCCUACAACGGUAUCAGCACAUAUCUCUAGUCCUAAAAUCUGCAAAUAGAAAUUCAACAUUAAAAGAAAAUAUUAUACUGAGUCAAGAUGAUUAGAGAGGCUUUAGAAAGAAUAGAUCUUAUACCCUUAGGAUGUAAUCUGUUAUCAAAUUUGCUUUCUGGCCUUCAGUUGCUACAGCCUGAGUAUUAAGAGUCAAAAGGACAACCAGUUAAUAUCUAUAUGGAAAAAGAUGAAUCUUCUGAUUCACCGUUUUGCUUUUCGUAUAUCUAAUUUAUCACUUAUGUUUUCUUCAAAGGAACCCUUCUGGACGAGAAAUUUUGCAAUUCAUAGGAAGAAGUUGAAGAAGAGAGGAAUAUCCAAAAUUGAACGGGGUAUUAUAGUAACAUUGCUAAGCUGUCAUACUUCUUUGUCUUUGUCUUGAAUUGCUACCAGGAAUCAAUAAUAUAAAAAAGGCUUAGGGAUGAAAGUCAAAUGGGAAAAACACAUUCCUUACAAGUGUGCACUCUUUGUUACCUUACACGAACGCGGAAAAAAAAUCCAAAUUCUGAAAUCCAAUUUAUAAUUAUCUAAAUUGAUAUUACUUUUAAUCCAUUUAAAUGGAUUUAUCUCAAAUCCAAAUCUAUAAUUUUAGAUUUUAAGUUCAAUCCAUUUAAUUAGAUAUGGAUUAGGUAUAAAUUGUAUAUAUUUUUGGAUUAUCCAAAAUGAAUUUUAGGUUGGAUUUUGACUUGGUCCGGCUCCAGGUUGAGUCGAGUCAAUCCGGGUCCAAGUCGAGCAAAGUUGGUCCGAGUCCAUGUUGAGUUGAGUCGGUCAGGGCUCAAGUCAAGCUGAGUUGAUCCGUGCCAAAGUUGUGUCGAGUCGAUCGUUGAAUUGAGUCGGCCCAAGCCAAAGUUGAACCGAGUCAACCAGGGCCUAAGUCGAGCUGAGUGGGCUAGAGCCCAAGUCGAGUCGGCACUGCCCAUGUCGAGCAAAGUCGACACGAGCCUAUGCUGAGCCGAGUCGGUCCAGACCUAUGUCGAGUCGAGUCAAUCCGGCCAAUGUCGAGCUGAAUGGGCCUGUGCCCAUGUCGAGCCGAGGUACCAGCUUACAUGUCGACUGGACUUGGCGAGGGCCAAAGCCGAGCAGAGUAGGUUCGGGCCCAUGUCGGUCCGGGACCAUGUCGAUCCGAGUCCGUCUAGGCCGAUGUCGCGCUAAGUCGGCUCAGGCCGAUGUCGAGCCGAGUCGGCCCGAACCUAUGUUGAUUCAAACUCAUAUUGACCCGAGUCGAUUCGAGCUCAUACCGAGCCAAGUCGGCCCCGAUCAAUAUCCAGCUGAGUCGGCCCAGGGCCCAUGUCGAUCCGAGUCAACCCGGGUCAUUGUCGACCAAAGUCGGCCCAGGUCCAUGUCGAUCUGAGUCAGCCCGGGACCAUGUCAAGAGUGGACCCAGGCCGAUGUCGAGCCGAGUCGGUUUUGGCCAAUGUAGAGCCGAGUCGGCCCGGGCCGAUAUCGAGUCGAGUCGGUCCGAGCCGAUGUCGAGCCGAGUCAGCCCAGGACGAUGUUCAACAAAGUCAACCCGGGCUGAUGUCGAGCCGAGUCGGCUCGGGUUGAUGUCGAUUCGAGUCAACUCAGGUCAAUGUCGAGCAGAGUCGGCCCACGCCCAUGUUGAGCUGAGUCGUCCCUUACUGAUGUCCAGCCGAGUUGGCCUGACCCCAAGUCGAGUCGUCACUAGGCCAAGGUCAAGUUGGCACUGGACCCAUGUCGAGCCAAGUCAAGCCGAGUCAGCCCAUGUCAAGUUGUGUGGGCCUAGGCCCGUGUCAAGUCGAGUCUAUCUGGACCUAGAUCGAGUUGAGUCGACCCGGUCCCAUGUCGAGUUGAGUAGACCUAGGCCCAAGUUCAAUGAAGUCGGUCCGGGCGUAAGUCGAGUCAGUCCAGGCCCUUGUUGAGCCGAGUUAGCUAGGUUCCAUAUCAAGCCGAGUGGGCCUAAAUCUAUGUCGAGCCAAGUGGGCUCGAGUUCAUAUCGAGGUGAGUCAGUCAAGAUUUAGAUCGAGAUGGAUUUAAUCUAAUUGACAAAGUAAAUUUAAUCUAAUUGAAAAAGUGGAUUUAAUUUAAAUUUAAUUUAUUUAAAAUAGAUUUGAAAAAUUAAAAAUGGAUAUGGUGCAAUUUCUCUUUGGAUCUAGAUUGGAUUUAAUCUAUACCAACCCUACCUUCAUGUAGAUAUCAAUAUCUGGAUCAGGUAUGAUAUUUGCCUCUUUUUCUCUUCUCGACAAUUCUGCAAGCAAAUCUGCAUAAAGCCAAAAUUUAUACACAUAAUCAAAACUUAAAUUUCACGUAUAAUGUUAGCAUGUGUUUUGAACAUUGAACAUGAACAAAAGUCAUUAUUCAUGCUGCAGACUAACCAUAACGAGUUCCAACUCCUUGGACUCUUGCUGAGAAGGUUAAGGUUUCUCUGACCGUCAACUCUGCAAUAUGAAGAUCAUUUUGAUUGACAUAUGCUGCAGUCCUUUGGGGUACAAACUCAUCUAUCGCAUGACCAUUAUAAGUCACCUUUCCAGAAAACUGAUCAAGAAACCACACUAAAUCACCUAGAGAUCCAAGAUUAAAAAAAUAGAGAAAAAACAUGAAAUAUCUUUCGAAAAAAAAAUUAUUUUCUUUGAUGCCCCAACCUUUAACUUUGGAUCAAGUCUUGCUGCCAAGGCCAACAAUAGUGUGGUUUUUCCAGAACUUGGAGGGCCCAAAAGUAAUGUCAUUCUGAACAGUAGGAAAUGGAAACAUUAUAUUAGUUCCGAAGGUGCUGGUUAAUUACAACUUUAUUAUAUAUAAAGAACACCACUUUCAUUACCUGCCAGGCUUUAUUAUUCCACUGACAUCCUGGAGAAUAUGUAUAUGUUGUUUUCUACUUUGUAGAAUAUGAAGAGAGUUCAACAUACCCUUUUAACGAAAAUAAGUGAAACCAAAUAUUCAACAUGUUAGAACUCCUUCUGUAAGGUCAAGGUGCAUGUUCUACUAAAUAUGAAAGCUGGUACCAAUACUCACCUCCACAAUAUUCACCAUGAAGUUAGCGAAGGUAGGCAAAGCUCUAGUUCCUACACUAGCUUCUGCUUCCACAUUCAAGUUCUCAAACCGCACCUCUAUUAUCGGAAGAUCAAUUCCAACUCUGAUAUCAUCCAAUCCAAGGAAGCAAAAUAGGAGGAGAAGAAGCCAUCCAUGAGUGCAUUUCGAUCAAAGACAACUUCAUUAGAAUCAGAACAAAAGAGAAGGGGAAUCUUACCUAUCAAUUCGUUCCCUUAACUUGAGCAAAAACUUCUCAUUGUCCUCUUCAGCAGUUCUGAUCAGUCUUUCAAGUAAAACUCUUCUUUCUUGCAACCCAAGUUUGUGCACAUCAAUCUCAUUCACUUCUCCUUCGGGUGAAGUGAACAAAGCUUUCCUCAUACGCGAAACGGUGGGAAGUUUCUGAAUGGCAGCCCAUUUGAGAGCCUCUUCAUCAUCCUCUUUGUGCAAUGAGUUUGAGAAGAUAUCCUUAUCACUGUCCCUGCAAAUGGAUGAACUACCAUUCCUGAAACUACCCCCACCCUCCAUUCAACCGGACCCAAUAACAAAACAAAUAGAACUUUAAACCCUACUGCAGCCACCGCUAGAACCUAGUAACUAUUUUCCAGAAACAAAAGCAUUUUCAAUUUGUUUUGCCUGAAUGGGACACAAGAUAUAUAUGGAGAUUGAGGAAGGAAUUAAGAACAUGCAGUUUUAGCAGAGUUAAAUAUGGUGGGAGGGUUUUUGAAGUGGCAACAUAUGCAUAUCUGCGCACAUAUUUGUAGCCACCACCUUUACGUGGUGAAGAUGCAACAGUAUUUUAUUACUUCGCACCAUCCAAAUAUUGUAUAAAAAAAAUUAAGUUGAUUAAAUGACGUGUGGUGUCGGUGUCGGAUAGUCAUAUCGGAUACAGACACUCGUAACGUAUUUGCGAAGUGUUCAAUUCAAAAAGUAUUUAUUGAAUUUAUGACAAUUCUAGUACAAUUCUAACACAAUUUUAAAAAAGAAAAAUAAAUCAAUUUUCUAAAAACUCAAAUUUAUUGUAUAAAUUUUUAUUAUGGUUAUAAAAAUAAGAAACAAAUCAUUUUGAACCAGUCAUGAAAAAAUAAUCUGAAACAUACUUGUACACAUAAAUCUUUAUUGUCAGUUUAUAUAAUUCAUAAUUAUAUAAUAUAUAGAUACGUGUUCCCGUGUCCUACAUUUUAGAUAUUAUACGUAAUUUUGUGUCAAUAUCGUAUCAGUGUCCUACAUAGCCUACAUAUGUGCAGUGGAAAGCCUAUAUUUUUGCUAGAUAUGUAUCAAAAUUGAGAUGAUUUAUUUUUUUUAUUAAAGAGAAAGAAUAUAUAAAUAAAGAAGUAUUUGAGGUGCUUCCCACUCAUAAAAAAAAGGUAAAUAUGUAGUAAAAAAUAUAAUAAAGAAUUGAUUAGAAGUGUGAUCCCUACUCUCUCUCUUUUCCCAUAAAAAAAACCUCCCCUAUAACUCUGCACUGAAACACAGUACAUGUUCCUUUCCAUGAAAGCCCAUGUUCAGAUUUGUCUAUAUAUUUUUAGUAUACUUCUCGUUAUCCUUACUUGUCAAUAAAUAUAUUUUUAUUUUUCAAUUUGUAACGUAAAGAUAGUAUUUUUUUUCUGUGCAAUAAAGACUGCAUUUUUUUAUGGACGGACAACUGAUAUUUAUCAUAUUUAUGUGUGUAAUAAAUAGUAUUUUUUAUGGACAGUAGAACCAUACUUUUUCUUUUUAUGUGAAAACUGAUAUGGCAGCAACAUGUUUUGGAGUGAGUAGUAAGGACUUUUGCCCUUCUCAGCUCUUGUGAAUGGAACAAUACACAGUUGGAAGGAUAUUUGGUCCCAGACUUGAUAAAGUACACUUGCAAAAGAGAAAAAAAAACUGUUACUCACAUAUUUCGUUAAAAUCUUGGGAUCACACUUCCAAAGGCAUAAUCAACUCUCAGCUCUUGGAUAAUUUUUUGUUUCAGUAAAAUGGGUUGAGUUGUUUUGGAAAUUAAUUAAGUACUUUUCUAGUAUUUCGCAUCAUUGUUCCGAUUUUAAUGCCGGAUUAAGAAAUUAACUUGGGUUGUACUUAUGAAAAAGGGAACUUAUUAUAUAUGGUAUGUAUGAAGAAAAAAAAAUACUUAUGAAAAAGGGAACUUAUUAUAUAUGUAUGAAAAAAUAUUAUAAAAUCUCAUUCAACCCUAAUACUUGAUCAUAUUUAAUAAUUAUAAUCAAUAUAUUCAAAUUUUUUUUCCAUUAUAUUUUUGUGAAAGCCAACUUUCGUUUAAUUUUCUACUUUUUUUGAAUUUACAACUUGUCAAUUUUUUUUUUUUUUGAAAUGAGCCAAAUUUUGGUAAAAAAAGUUAUGGAUGGUUUAAUGCUAGCUUAAUCCACGCUUCUUCUUAUCUAGGAAUGACAACGCAGGUUGACCCAUCCUGCACUUGGCCAGUAAACUACGGUUCUGGUUGGUCCGUCCCGCAUAGAAUAUGAAGAUUGAUUUUUCUAGCCCACUCCGCAUAAUGAUUGGUUCGCAGGUCUGCAGGCCAGCUCGCAUAAGAAAUAUUUUUUUUAAAAAUUAAUAAAAAAUAAUUUUUUAAAUAGAAAUUUUGAAUAAAUUUAAUUUUUAUUUUAUUUAGAUGUAUUAGGUAAAUGGUCUCAUAAUAUUAUUCUCAUGAGACUUGCGUAGUAAGAUGUUAUUAAAAAAUUCGGAAUGUGAAAUGUAAGGCUGCAUUAAGAAAAUAUGGGGGUGCAGAAAAAAAUUUCUACAUUUUCUAAACCUGAGUUAUGCGGGACAGCCCACCCCCCGCCUCGCACUCAACUUGCGUGGGUUGAGGGUUAUGCGAGGCGGGUCUAAGCGAGCCAACGGGUUGAAAUAGGCAGCCCGCCUUGCGUUUUUCUAAACGGGCCUCGAGCUUGGCUAGUUCGGUAUUGUGUGUGGAUUGCAUUAUAGGUGAAUUGUGGAAACAAAGAAAUAAGAAGGUUUUCAAGAAUGGACGCGUAGACUACAUUGAAGUCUUUACAAUGGUGCAGUUGCAGGUUUGGUCAUGGAUUACCUCAAAGUUACGCUUAACAUGUUUCUCUUACUCUGGUUGGUGUCUAAAACAUUUGUUAUGCAUGAGAACAGUCAAAAAAGGAAACGUUAGAGGAGCUAGAUUGGGGUGAAAAGGGUUUCUCAAUGUUUGAGGUGGUGUUUUUAUUUUUAUUUUUGGGUAUGGGAUAGACGUUGUAGCUUUUGUGCUACGCAGUCUUCUUCAACACGUCAAAGCAAGUUUUAGGUUGGAAGACAUCUUUGUUUUUUUAUAAGGAUUAUCCCUAAAAUACUUCAAUUUUUUUUUUUGCCAAUAAAAAAAUAUCUGCCGCAGUAUGUCAUCCCUAUUCUUAUCAAGUUUCCAAAUUGCAACCCGUAAUUUAUUGUAUUUUAUUAAAGUAUAAAUGAAAAUAUAAAUGCAUUUUAUGUCUUAAAACCAUAUAGUGGAAACCCUAUUUUAGCUAGAUAUGAACCAAAAUUGAGUUAACCUAAAGAUAUAUUUAUGUUUUUCAAUUAGUAACGUAAAGAUAGUUAUUUUUGUGUGCAAGAAAGGCUACAUUUAUGGAUGGACUGCAGAAUUGCGUUUGCUGAUAAAAAAAAAACACUUCCAAGGGCAUAAUCAACUCUCAACUCUUGGAUUACUGUUUGUUUCACUAAAUGGGUUGAUUUGUUUGGGAAAUUCACAAAGCACUUUUCUUUGUAAAAUUUAUUGAAAUGGUGUUUUAGUGUAGGACUGAAGACAACUUUGGUUUAAGGUUCUACUUUUCACUGUUUUCUUCCACAAAAUGAGUCAAACUUGAGUAAUUUUAAAGGUAAAUUGGCCCGUUUUGGUAAAAGAAAUUAUGGAUUGUUUAAUACUAGGUUAAUCCACACUCAUUCUUGUUCAGUUUCCAAAUUUCAACCCAUAAUUUAUUGUAUUUUAUUAAAGUAUAAAUGAAAAUAUAAAUGCAUUUUAUGUCUUACAAAGCAAACCAUCAUAGGCCCAUUCUAGUAAUUCAACCUGCCACCACCUAAACUUGGCACAUGUUACAUAUGUUUUAUCUCGUCAUCACCGUGAUUCAAAUGGAAGUACCAUAAGACGGUUCUCACCUUCCACCUCCAAUAUUUCACCCUUUGCAUUACAACUGUAAUUGGAGUGUUUAGAUGAUUAUUAUGCACCAGACUAACAUCAAAUGUAAAAAAAUAUUAACAUACAAACAUCGUGAAUAUGAAUUUAACUGGUUAAAAUAAGAUAUUAUGGAAAAAAAUUCGUCGAUAGACGGUGAGUGAUAACACAUAUUUUCACUACUAAAAAAUAUAGAAGUAGUAAAGUAGUAGAAAGAUUUAAAAAUGUUUAAAGUAGAAAUAAGGAUUAUUCAAUGAUAGCUUCGCCCAUGGCUCAGGGUGAGGAUAAUUGUUCUGGUCUAGAAGUUUAGAGAUCCUUAGCCAGAGUGGUCCCCUCUCCUUAUUCUAAUUGUUUCUUUUAAUUUAAUAUUUGUUUAAGAAAGUGACACCUAUUUUGCAAAAGAAAUCACCCAUCACAGAAGCCAUUGCAAAGUUUAGGCAUUACCUCUUAUGUUUGUUUGGAUUGGGAGGAAAUUUGAAAGAGUGGAUUUAGAGUGAUUUGAGAAGAAAAUGAGGUUGUUUGAAUUGAGAUAUGUUAGAGUAAAUUUGUGAAGAAAGUUUAUGUCACAAUGUUUGGAGCAGGAAUCUUGUGUCUGUUUUGUAGGCUAUGGCAAAACCAUACAACAACCAUGGAGGAAUCAACCAGUACACAAAGAGUAGAAGUGGGUGGAUCUACACAAGUUUGCAGGAAUUAACAUACACCUUGUGUUGCCAAACAUCAUUUUCUAACAAGACCAACUUGGAGUGGGCAAGAAAAUAAAAACCUAUAAUGGGUGAAGGAAAAGGCUGGGAGGCACACGUAUCAAUUUCUAGAAAACCUGUAAAUCCAGCUGGAGAAUAUAUAUAGGCAAAGUUGGGGAAGGGCAACGAACAGAAACAAUAGACAUCACAGCCCACAAUUUCACUCGGGUUAAGUUGUCAUCUUUGAACUCUUCGACUUGAAGUCAUGUUUUUGGCCUACACUUGUCAUUGUACGUUGUAUGUAGACCAUUAGUAGAAUUGAUGGAGGUCUUAGCCAUAUGUAGGAAUAGUUGUGCACCAGGUUUACAACUUUGGAGGGCUCAGGAAUACCUUCUUUGGCUAGUUUUGUAUGUUUUUGGGGGCUGAAUUAUGCUGGACAAUGAUAGUUAACUAGUCCCUUAUUUAAUUACUUUUUUCUGAUAAAAAAAAAUAUAAGUCACCAAAGAAUCCACUCCUCAACUCUAGGGAGACAUACAGGAAUAAUAAGGACAUUGACUCAAGUAGCAACUCAAUUUUAUUGGAAAGACCAUCACAGACAUUACAUUUUUUGUCAAGUUUGGUACUACUCUAGUCAUGAGUACAUAUCUUAUUAUUCCCAGUUUGAUGGUCAAUCAGAAGCUAUGAAUUAUUGCUUAGAAAUGUACCUUCUUUGAUUUACUUAUGAAAGGGUGGACCAAAUUAUUGCCUUGCGUAUAAUUUUGGUAUAAUGCAUCAUACCAUUUCAGCACUAGCACAUUUUAAGGUAGUUUACUCUGUGGAUCUACUUGCAAUUGUGAAAUAAAUAUAUGACUCUAAUAAUCAUGUUGAUGUGCAAGAACUAUUACAACAAAAAGAUUAAUUAUCUUUACUCAACUGAAACAUAAUUUAGUGAAGGCCCAACAUACUAUGAAAAAAUAUGCAAUUAAAGAGGAGGAAUUUCGAAUUCAAGAAGGGUGAAUUGGUUUUAGUGAAGCUGCAACCAUAUAGGCAACACUUGAUGGCCUUAAGAAAAAAAUCAAAAUUGAAAAUGAGAUAUUUUGGACCUAUCAAACUAGAUAUGUUGCUUACAAGCUGUUACUUCCAGCCACUACAAAUUUAGAGAUGGAACAGUGGAUGAGGAAGAAUUGUUCCAUAUGGCUCAGCUGAAGGUCUAAAUGUGGAUGAAAAAUAAAUUGUGUGCUCUCAUUUUUUCCUUUUCUCACUAGCUUUUAUGUCCAAAUCAGUAUCUUAGAUCAAUCAAGUAGUUAUCAGGUUUUAUGUGAAGGUAAGUAUCAUGGUGUUGGGAGUUUUCAUGAGAAGCUUUGAAUUAUGGUGCACAAUUUAUUUACUUUUUAUUCUCUGGAAUUAUAUAUAAUAAAAUCUUGGAUGCGAUUACUAUUCAACAAGCUACCUUCUACGAUUUAUAUGUAUCUUAUAAUAGUGUUAACUUCUUAGUUGGGAAAUGUUUUUGUAAUCUUGUAGGAAUUGGAGCAUGGAAAAAUAGGGGACUUAAACAGCACCAGUAACAACAUUUUCACAAGGGUUGUAGUCAAACAUGUUGGGCUUGAAUUAGGGGAUGUAGUCUCAUCUCUGGUUUAAAGUUUGUCAUAUUCUAUGGUAAGGAAAUGGAAUUUUGGUUUCAAAUCUUUGUAAGUUUAACUCCUUUUUCAGUACUAAAUGGCUGGGAAAGGUGAAUGCUUUCUGUUUUGCAAGAAAGAAGAAAGAGGUGAGUCUUCUGGUUAUGAGACAAGAGGUUUCAAGCUGAGCAUAAAAGAAAUAGUAUGACUUGACUAGCAGUCAAAGGUAGAAUUUGAUGGCACAAAAUAUUGAUUCAAUUCUGAUAGCACAGAACAUUGAUCCCAUCCCAUCUUUGUCUCCGGUUGGUUUUCUUCUUCUGCCAUUUUGAUUUAAUUCUUUGUGUACAACUUAUUGUGCCUGGUUGUUGUUCUUUUUGGAACUAUUUUGACUUUUUUGGAUCAUGUGGAUCUAUGGAGUGUGUCCGUUUAUUGGAACUAUUUUUUUCAGGAUUUCUAUAGAUAACUUUUUAUAUAAGGUUGAAUUAUCUCUUAAUUAUACAAGGGUUAUAUAAAGGUUGAAUUAUCUGCACAACCAACAUUUGAGAAAAAUAAGGACAACUAUUUCCUAAUUAAACUCUUUCUCCCUAACUGCAAGCUGUCAUAACUACAGGCACAAUUUUUAAUUUGUUAGUAAGAGGAUUAGAUGUGUCCCUUUCAAUUUAUUUAUUGUUAGUUGAUAAAAAAAUCUCUUAAAUGUUCUUAUUAAUUAUAUUUUAAUUGUUGAUAUCCAUCGUAUUUUUCACGAUUUUUAAUUGAAAUUAUGGCAUGGUGAUCAUAGUGGACCAUAUAUUCCACUCCCAAUGUUUAUAAAUGAGGUUGGUCCUAUUUUGUAGUGGGUGCCUAUUUUCUUAUCAGUAGUGAGGACAAUGAGUUUGGACCCCCUUGGUUUCCUUUCUGUCUUCUCAUUUCUCUGUUUGCUGCUGAGAUAAUAACUACUUCUCACUUUUUCCAUAAUACUAGUAGUAAACUUGUAGGAUUACUUUAAGAUUUUAGGGUAAACUUGUUGCUUAACAUUCUUGUUACUUAGUUGAUUUAGAAAAAAAAUGAAGUAUAAAACUUCCAUAAACUUACAAAAGAGAAGAAAAAAAUAUAGGGUUAAUUUUAAGGGAAAUAGGAAGUUAUUACUUAAAUCAAAAUUGUAAUUAAUCUACUCUUUACUCAAAGAUGGAACGUAAUCAUGAAAAGAAUGACCGAUGAAUAGUAAAUCUUAAAGAAUGUGUAGAGAAUUUAGAAUUUUAGGUAAAUAAAAUAAAAUUUUAGAAUAAGUGAAAAAUAAAAUUAUAUAUUAUCAUAAUUUAUAUUUUUUAUCCUUAAUAAAAUAAAGUUCAACCUAAAUUGUUAAUGUAAUGUUGGAUAUUUUUCAUAGUGUGUGCCCCAUGGGUGUGUUUUGUAACCCCUACUACUUAGGAUCCUACACAUUUUUUUAUGUGUGCUGGGUCUCUUUAACUGCACCAUUAAAUAUUAUUUAUUGAUAAACAGUGUUGAAGAUGUAUAUAUGAAAUUAUUAAAUAAAAAUUAAUUUUAAAAAAAUAAUUAAUCAUUAUAUUAAUUAAAUUAUAUAUUAUUUGAGAUAAAUAAAUGAUUAAUAUUUAAAAUAAUUUUGUUAAUAAAAUUUAUAAACUAAUUUUUAAAUUAAUAUUUUAUUAGUUAUCAAGAUUUUAAUUAUAAAUUACUUUAUCAAUUAUUUAAUAUUUUAAAGUUGAUUGUUAAAAUUUUGAUAAUUAAUUAAAUAUAAAUUUAGAAACUAAUUUAUAAAUUUUAUUAAUAAUAAAAAUUACUCUAGAUACUAAUAAUUUUUUUUUAUGUUUUAAAAUAAUAUUUAAUUUAGUUAAUGUAAUAAUUAAUUUUUUUCUAAAAAUUAUUUAUACUUAAUUAUUUUCUUGUAGUGAUAUAUAUAAAUUAUUAUUAUUAUUAUGUAUAUUUAAUUUGAGGUGUAAUUUUAUCUUUCUUUAUUUAUAAUAUUAUAAAAAACUUACAAAAGUUAGAUGUAAGAGUAAAUUAUGAUAAUAUAUAAUCACCAAAUUAUCUAUUUAGUUUAGGAGAUAUAGUUUUAAAAUAAAAUGGAGAAUAAAUAUAUAUUUUUAUGAGAUGAAACAGAACUUUAUGUAGAAUUUUUUGUGUGCCAAAUCGAUGUUUUUUUAAGCUAUGCUUUUAUGAGUUGGUGACAGGGGUUUUUCAUUGUAAGAAUAGAAUUUAUACUUAAGAAGUCUAUGUCGUUCAUAAGAAUUUCUUGAUACUUAUAUAUAUGAUUUGAGACAUCCUUAAAAUAUUUUUUAUUAAUUUAUUUAAUUUUUUAUUGAUAAAAUUUUUUUUACAGAUUAAAAUAUAGAUUAGUUUUUUAAUUUGUAUUUCAGAUUUUCUUAAUUUAUCAUGAAGUUGUAUAAAUUAAAAAGUGUAAAGUAGUCUAGAAAUAGUUGCACAAUUAAUUUUCAUUAAUUAAAUAUUAAAUAUAGUUUUAGCAUAAUAAAAAAGGAUUAUGCCAAAUUUGAAUUUCUUGAAGUCUAGGAUUGCUUGUAGUGUCCUUUUCUCAUCAAUUCUCUCCUUUUAUUUGUUUAAAACACCAAAACUCGAUAUUGUGAUGUCACCAACCCAUACAAAGUCCAAGCUACGUACUGAAAUAUCAUAGUGAUAUCUCAAAGAACACUUACUAUAGUUAGUUGAAAUUCGUAUUAGGUGAGAGUCCUACUCUUUAUUUAUUUAAUGCACAUAGUUAAUUAUUGCGAACACAACCAUUUUCAACUCACUUUUAUUAUUCAAUUGUUUUUUUAUUUAAUAUUAGUCCUCAGAUACACAUUGUUACUUCUGAUACACAUUAUUACUUCUGACAACGCAGUGUACUUGUGGUAAUAAAUCAUCGGAGUCUGAUGUAUUUCUUGGGUUAAAAUGGAGUUUCUAUUAUGCAUUCUUUAUCCUUUAAAACUCCAGUAACCCCUAAUGCAUGGAUACCAAGGCCCAGAGACGAGCUAUUCAUCUGCACCAACCGCUGAGGCAAUGCUUUUUUCCAAUUGGAAGCAGCCAAAGGCAGGAUAGAAAGUGGUAGUCAGAAUAAUAUUGUUUUGUUAGGCAAAAGAAUGAGGAAUAUACCAAAUGGGCAGUAUUUGGUCCAUAGUAGCAACUCAGUUUUAUAGAAGUUGAUGCCAUAUAGGAUGCAGGAGGCAAUGGUGUUCUGUUUUUUAGUUCUUCACCACUAAAUAGCUUUGUUUUUCAACAUACUGCUAGUGCUGAUUUUUCUGCAGGACCUUUAUAAUUUUUGGGUAUGUAAGGGUAGUGGGGUUUCAUUAAUAGUUUAAGAAUUUUGAGCUGUGUUGUUUUACAUAGUAUGUUAUGAACUGAGGAAUUCUUAAAGUUGAGACACCCCUAAAACUUAAAACAGUUCAAAAUUGAUUUUAUCAUUACCACAUUUUGGGUACUACCUUUAGAGGAAAAGAGUGUAUCAUCCCUAUACUAAAGCAUAUCCACCUUAAUUAUACACAUGUCAUAUUCGUGUCUUACCAUUAAUUAUAUUUUAUAUGCAACACAACAAGAAAGAAAAAUGAACAAGAAUAUUAGAUAUAAAUUAUCCGUCAACUAAAAAUUACUACACUUAUAAAGGCAUACUUUACUUGUUAUGCUCGUCAAUUUCUUGUUCUAACUAACCCCUCCUUAAUUAUUAAAAUACCUCGCCCAACAAUUUUUGAUGAACUAAGGGUGUAAGGGAGGUUGUAAAAUUAAAAUUAAAAAUAAAAUUAAAAUUGAGUUGUAUGCGAUGAAACUUCCUCUUAGCGACGGUGUACCACACAAAAACUUGUAUCCUCCUCCUAACCUUGUCUGAUAUGUACUAGACUGUUCUCGUCUAAUAUGUAAUAGACAAUCUCUUCCCUAUCUGUAUUAGACGGUCUUGUCUUCUCCUACCUAUACAUUUGGCCUUGCUCUUCCUUUGUAAAGUUACAUUAAUCAAUGAUAAGUUUAUAUUUUAUUAUCUUUGUCACCUAUGUUCUCUUUCAUUGUAUCAAGAGCCAGUAAUGACUUCUUCACCUACAACGCUCAACUCUAACAUUUUUUCGUCUUCGACAUUUGCUCCGCGUACCUUCACCAUGCCUAUCAAUCUCAAGCUCAAUGAUGAUAAUUUUAUCAUCUGGCAGUAGUAGGUUCUUGCCACCAUUCACGGCCUUUAACUUACACAUUUCUUGGAUAAUUCAACGGUUCCUUCAAAAUUCAAGACUUUUGAAGAUUCUCAAGCAAAUAAUAUCAAUCCUGAUUUUUUGCGCUAUGAGCAAUAAGACCAACUUAUCAUUUCUUGGCUUCUUACUUCAAUGUCAACUCCAUUUCUCACCAAGAUGGUGGGUCUUGAAACUUUUGUGCAAAUUUGAACACGCCUGAGAACGUAUUAUGCCUAUCAAACCAUAGCCAAAAACUGAAACUUCACCUACACACAUCGAAGAGAGAUCAUAAUAUUAAUACUUAUCUUCUUGAUAUCAAGAAGACGGUUGAUACUCUGACAAUUGUUGGAGCUCCCAUCACUACUGAAGAUCAUAUAGAGGUUAUCCUUUAUGGUUUACCUGAUGAGAAUGAUCAUUUCAUUAUGUCCAUCACAUCCUGCCUGGAUCCGUAUUCUGUUGAUUUUGAAUCCCUUUUUCUUGCUCAAGAAGAAAGGUUUGGGAAACAUUGCCUCGCUAAUCAAAUUCUUCUGCAAGCCCAUACCUUUUCAAGUUCGUGGUAUUAUUCAAAUCAUCAACAAGAUAGAUAUCACAAUAAUGGUUUGAAAAACAGGGGAAGACGUCUGCCUUUUCAUUAUAAUACUUCUUAGUGUUCAAUGCAUUUUCCAGUAUCCAAAAAUGACAAUCAUGAUUCUUGGAAUUCUUCUUGGUAACACAAUAAAUCCAAGUAUCAAAUUUGUGUGAAACUUGGUCUUACAACUUUACGUUGUUAGACAAGGUGUGAACAGAGUACAUCGUCUAAUGCUCAUGCUAACCUUUCUCAAUUUUCGUCUACAAUCAAUUUUCGUUUACAGAGGUGCUUGGCUCAUGUAAAUUUACAUUGAAUGAAGAUUAAAGUUACUAUAUAGAAAUUGUGUGAGAAUAGUGAGAAUUAUUUCUCCUAGCUUACUCUUAUAUUUGUGAGUGGUUGCUGCAUAAUGCAGCAGUGUGUUCCAGCAGGGUCUGUCAUAUUGCAGCAGUACCCCUGGAGUUUUAAGAAGGGAAGUUUUUUGUGGGGUGUGCUCUGCUUGUGCUUGGUUUCUUCUCAGUUUUCUAUGCAGUGUAUGCGGCUGUUUGAUUUAAAUGUUAGGAAGCAUUAGCUUAUACUUUGGUUUGAUUGUAAUGUUCUUGGUGUGUAAGUUAGGUGGUAGGCUUGUAUGUGUUUUCUGUAAAAGGGUUGGGACACAUCUCAAGUGUCCCUUUUAAUUCAUUUAUUCUUUGCUAAAAAAACAACUUUACUGUGAUAUUAAUGAAGUUUUUUUUUUCUUUCCCUUUCUUUCGUCCUUUUCGUAAUCAACUGUGAUUUCUAGGAAACUAUUUAAACAAUUAAGAGAGGCCAAAUUUAUAAUCGGACUAUGAUAUACUUAAUUGAUAAAUAGAAAAAUAUAUUCGUCAGUAUGAAGAUAUUUUCUUACAAAUGUUACGUUGAACAUUUCUGUACGAAAUACUUGAAUGGUUUUCUAACGCCGCUGAAAAUUAAACAUUUUCACUGAUAUAGCAAAGACCAAUGCAAAAACUACUGUGAAUGCAACCAUCACAGCUGCAACCACUCCAAGAAAAUCAUGCUUGAAACCAAAGUAGCUUCUCACAAAGCCUUCCACUGUUGUUGUCCCAUCACUGGAUUCAAUGCUUUGCUUUAUAUCUCCAUACUGUGAAGCCACCAAUCCAUACAAACUCCAAGGAAUUGGAUUUGCCCAACUGUACCACCUCCACCAUACUGGGAUCCUCUGGUAGACCAUGCCAAAAAGGAAUAUUCUCAUAAAUUUGCUACCUUCCAUGCUUGGAGAGUAUGAAUCUAUUGUGCAAUAAAUAUGAAAGGAAGAUGAAACUUACAGGCCGUGGGAUUAUGAAUCCUGAGAAGAUAUUCCACACUGCAUAAAAUCCUGAAGAAACUAUACUGGAGAUGUGUUGGUUAGGGGUCAAUGCCACUGCCAUCAUUCCAUAGUAGGUGAAGUACAGGAAGGUAAAGUACAUGAAGAAUAGGCACCACAAAAAUUUAGCUACAGUGCACUCAUAACCAAUCAUUGCAUAAAUUAUCAUACUAUAGACUACAGCUUGUCCAAGCACAUAUGGGAGCUCAAUCAGAACCUGCAACAGAAAUAUAGAUUAGAAAGAAGGAAUGCAGAAGUAAAUUAUUUACUCUUAAUGAAGUAAACAGAAGUAAUAAUUUCAAAUCCGGGUGAUAAUCACCUUAAUUACUAAGACAGACAAAUUAUCAAUUACCUUUGGAUUUACUUUCUUUAGAGUUUAGAGAUUAACUAAUCCUGGUUGUUGACGAAAAAUUUAAUGAAUAAAUUUCCAACACAUUCAUGAUUUUUAUGCAUGUAUACAUAAUAUUAACAGUUUGCUUUUCAUCAGUGAUUGAGAUCACAUAUUUUUCCUUUAUUUUCUAUAUAGUGUUGUGAAGAUUAUGAUUUAGGAUCAAAUAAAACUCAAAUAAAAGACAUGUAUUUAGAAAGUGGAAUUGCUUGCCUGGGCAAAAGCAUAUGGAAAAGCUGAAUACAUUCCAGCUGCUCUCUCCCUGUAAAAGACUGUCCGCUCAACAGCAACUACUGGCUGCACUGCAAUAGAAUUCUUCAUACUAAGAAGGAGAACAGCAAUAUACAUGGAGCCCAUGACAUUGAAAAGAUCUUGUUGCUUUUCACGGUAAUAAUUGAUGUGGAAGUUUUAUGUUUGAUGAAAUAGUCGCAACAAAACAAAUGAGAUUGACAUGUCAAAGUUUCUUGUUUAAUAUUAGAUUUUGGAGCCAAGGUUCCAAAACAUGCUUCCAAGCAAAACAGUUACAAUAGCGGAGAAUAGAAAUCUUAGAAAAACGGCUACAAUAGCGGAGAAUAGAAAUCUUAGAGUAGUGCAUUGAGAAUUGCGCAGUAAGUCCAAUGUUGUUUCCAUAAGCAAGCCAUAUUGGGUGAAAAAGGAAGUUAAGUAUUGUGAAGGAAAAUAAAGAUCUUUCGAACCAUAAGAUGGAAAACUCAAUUCUUUAACAAGUGUUUUAGUUCUCCUGAGACAAAUGACAAAUGACAAAUGACAAAGACCAUCUAUCAGCAACCAUUUUACUUCUGAACUGAAAAUAAUUCUAAUAAUAAACAGAACAAUAUAGCACUUUUAGACCUUUAAGUGCUCUAUCAGAUUACUUUCGAGUUUGUAGUUUUAUUACACUAUACAACUGGAAAUACCUAUAUUUUUUUUAUGUUUUUUUCAUCAGCAAUAAAUGAAUAAAAUUAAGGGAUACUUAAGGGGUAUCCCAACCCGUGUACCACAGCCACAAAGUUACACUUCCACAAAAGAAAGUAUAACCAAAAACCUAAACCUACAAAAGGGAAUGCCAAACCCAAACCAGCACUUAUAAAAGAACCAAAUGACAGAACCAAUAAAAUAACAGCACCCAACACCCAACUGCACUCCAAAGAACAGCACAGCAACACCUAAAAAAUCCUAACACUCUUCACCAGUUUCCCAAGCUGCUCCCCACGACACCCUUCUAAUCACACCCUCUCCAAUUGAAACCUUCAUUCCUUCACCGACCCCCCCAACACAUACGAAUUAUAGUAGUCCAACCAGCCAACCAGUCCACCUUUACACCAAACAGCAAUUACGUAACCCGACAUAACGCCUUGGUAUUUUGUCAUGACAAAAGGGUUAGAAACUUGGUUACAGAAAGCAGAAUAAAUUUGCUACACUGAUUUUGUUUCACCUCAUCAAAUGAUUCAAAUAUGUCUAUGAUAGGCUGAUGGAUGGUACAAACAACUGUUCUUUCAGUGUCUACAGUGUUCCUAACCGUCCUCAUGACAAUAGUUGCUGCUCUUGCAUCUAGUCCAGAAGUUGGUUCAUCCAUGAAUACAUGCCUUAGUGGUUUCAAUUCCACCAGUUCCAUGACUUCCUCAAUGAACAUCUACAAUCAUAAAUCAACGUCAAACAUCAAAGUGAUUUUUUUAUUGUUUAACACUAAUAAUAUUGUUUCCUUUGUUACUUAUAACUUAAUAAUUCCAAUCAUGAAUGGUAUUCUAGUUUUUGCGCUUACAAAUUACUGUGAAAAUGUGCUUGCAAACUCUAAGUAUGGGCUAGUCACAACUGAAUCCAGAAAAGGUAAGUACCAGAUUACUUGAAUAAUUCACAUUAUACGAGAAUGCAGAAUUACUGAAAUGGUUACUUCAUGGCAACCUCAAGUUUUCAAACUAGUUGGCAGCCUUUGUUAAACUACAAUGAAUUAGCAUGAAUGACAGUAAAAGGCAUCAAAUUUAGAUACCAACCUUUCUAGUUUGAGCAUUGAUGUCUGGGGACAAUCUGAGCCAUGCUGAAUAAAGCAAGGAUUCAUACACAGUAACAUUAGGAGAGUGGAUGUCGUUUUGCUCACAGUAUACUGAAAUUCUUGCAAAUGUUUCUUGCUUUUUCUGAUACCCAGAGAUUGUGAUGUUCCCUAAAACAUAUCCUGCAGUUUUUCUACCAGCAAGUACAUCCAUCAGAGUUGUCUUGCCUGCUCCGGUGACACCCAACACCUGGCCUGAAGGAUCCACUGACACACUUCAAAAGAACCAAAUUAUUCUCAACAACUCCUUGGUUCCUCAUUUCCUGCAAGUAUUUGAUAAUUUUUAAUUCACAAUAUAUGCAUGUGUUUUCAAAUGGUUUAAUUUUGUUUCUACAUUACCUGUGGCAUGUCCACAGCAUAUGUUACGUCAUCAAAGGUGAUAGAAUGUGGUUCAAAAGGAAGAACCAUUCCUCUAUAGCUAGAGGGAAAAGCAUGAGAAGAUGUAUUUCCACAUAUACUUUCGUCAUUUCUCACUAUGAAAUAGUUCCAGCGUUAUCAAUUAAAUGUAAUGUGAAUCGGUAAUGAACUAUUAGAAAUAUAGAGUUGACUAUGUUAUCCGUUCUUAAGAGACGAAGUACCUUUAUUACUACCACCAUUUUGCUCAUUGUUUUCAGGUUCUUCGGAUAUAAAAGCAUGUCGCUUCUCAGGUGCUGCAAAAUCAAUUUUAUCAAAUUAAUAGGUAGAUUUACCUUAUAUGGUAAUGUUUAAGCUGAAGACCCUCACUGCUCAUAUACGUAAGAGAAAGGAUGUAGCCAAAGUUGAAAAGUAAUGUAUAUCCAAUCAAAACCACAACGCCUAUCCAAAUCCAAUAUGAUUGGAUGAAGAAUCCCCGUGAUUUCAAAACUUCGACUCCAAGAGGCUCCGAAGAGUUAGGUAGAACCUAUCAUAAAAAAUUAUGUUCACAUAUCAUAUUAUUUAUAUAAUAAAGAAGACAUACAGGUAUAUAUUAUUUAAACUUACAUAUCUCCAUCUCUCCGCAAGGAACUCGUUAUUUACCAUAGCAUUCUGUCCAUACAUCUUAGGUGAUAUCCAGAAGCCCCAUAACCACCACUUUUUUUUAUGUUGUCUGGAACCAUAAAGAGGACAAAGGUGCAUUGUUCGUGUAGAACAUAAUGGAAAGCAUGGGAUUGGUCUAUUUUGUAUCAACGGUACCUUUUGAUAGAAUAAAACCACUCGUAGGAAAAAGGAAGGUCACUGUAAAUGACCCAAGUGUUAAAGCUGCAUUCAAUUCCCUCCCUACUCCUGCAAGAAAUCGGAAUAAUGCGGAAGCCAUCUGGUUCACCACUAAAAGAUCUGCAUUAUGUAGACAGAAAAUGAAUGUUAUUUUUUAUUUUCAGGGUAAAGUAGAAAAUAUGACUAGAAAGAUCAACGAGCAUGGUUGUUGAAUAUGUAUAAACACAAAGUUGUAUUUACCUUCCAAUAUUUGGAUCAAAUCCAAUGACAUAGUAGGUUAGGAAUAGCCAAACGGCAACUUCUACAAAAGUCAUAGGGAUUUUUAGGAUCCAUGCAGGCAGAGCAUAUGCCCAUGAAGGAAAAAACAGAUUAUCCCUUUGCUUGUAGAAAACAGGAAGCUUUAAAACGACCAUGGGAAGUUCAGCAAGUCCAUUGAACAUAAUCACAGCAAGGCCAAAGAACAAUGCACCGACAUAUAUCCCGCCAUCGGUCACAGAGUCUCUGCACAUCUUAGUCCGGAGGAAGAUGGUCAUGGCAAUAAAUGCCAUUACAGCAAGGUAAAUGGAGGGACAAGCUAUGAGUAAGUAAGACAAUAAUAGCAUUAUAUGACAUGACAAUUAAAUGAAGCAUUCUAAUUUUCAAACCUACUUGGCUCAACCGGAAGAUGUAAACAAAUGAGUUGCGCUUCAUAAGUAAAUAUUCACUUGAUAAGCAAGCUUUUAACAGUUCCCAUUUGCCCACUCCAAACUUUUUGGUAUUCAAAGCAGCUGGGUGACUCUUAGACCUGUCAAAUUCACUAUCAAGUUCUUCACGAAGGCUUCUCCCAACAUGAAAUGACUUGAGUGCCUCGGAGAAUUCUUUCGCUCUGACAAAUCUAUAAGGUUGAUCUUUGUGUGCCCAGUACUGUUCCUGGUCAUUCCUUGAUGUUACCUAUAGCAUAUAAUAAUCAAUGGUCACAACUAAAUUUAUAAAACUCUCUUAUACCGGUGCAGACAAAUUACAUCUUUGAGACAAUACACAUGGACACUUACUUCUUGCAAAAAGUCUGCCACACCUUUCCUCUCAGGACGUUGAAAACCCAUUGAUUGGAAAAAUUGAAGCACAUAUUCGCGGGGACCCUGGUACAGUAUAUGACUAUCAGAGAGUAGAGUAAUGUCAUAAAAAAGAUUGUUAGUCUGGGGCGCUGGCUGCAGGAGUGAGAUGACUGUUGUUCCUUUGAGAAUGUGAACACAUUGCUUGAGUGAAUUCACAAUUUGGAAGGUUGUUGAGCUAUCCAAACCAGUAGAUAUUUCAUCCAUGAAUAGAGCCUUAGCUGGUCCAACCAGCAUCUCUCCUAAAUUAACAAGUUUAUAAUGAUAUUAUUUCUCGCAUACAUUCAUUUGAUUGAGUGGUGUAAACUUAGUAGUACUUUUGGUGACUGAAAGAAGUUUUGUUUUACCUGUUGUAUGGCGUUUCUUUUGUCCACCAGAGAUGCCCUUAACAUUGUAUUUCCUACAACUGUAUCAGCACAUGUCUCCAGUCCUAAAAUCUGCAAAUACAAGUUAGAUAUUAAAAGAAAAUAUUGUAAUGAGUGGAUCACGGUGAUUGGAGAAGCGUUAGAAAGAAUGGAUUUUAUACCCUUAGGACGUAAUCUGUUAUCAAAGUUGUUUUCUGGCCUUCCGUUGCUACAGCCUGAGUAUUAAGAGUCAGAAGGACAACCAGUUAACAUCUGUAUGUAAAAAAAGAAACUGAUGAUUCACCUAUAACUAAUUGAGAUGGCAACUCUUAGAGUUGGUGCCCUAAUUUUUGGCAUGGCCCAAAAGCUUGGAGGUGCAACCAAUUUGGUGAUGAAAUAAUUUUGAGAGGCAUGUCCGAGCCUCAGUAACAGCUAAGCAGUCAUACUUUUUUCUUUGGUAUGAACGGCUCUUAAUAAUCAACAAUAUAAAAAAGACUUAGGGAUGCAAGUGAAAUGAGAAAAACACAUUCCUUACAAGUGAUGGACUCUUUUUUACCUUCAUGUAGGCAUCAAUAUCUGGAUCAGGCAUGAUUUUUUUUUUUAUCAACAAAGAAUAAAAUUAAAUUAAGAGGGACACUUCAGGUGUGUCAACCCUUAUACAAAAAACCAACAACCACAUAAUAAAAACAUUCAAUACACUGUCAAGGUUGCUGCAUAAAUAUGCAUUAGGAACUGGUUGCAGGGCCUAAACCAAACACACCGGCUGCAUAAUACUUAUGCAUUGUAUUAGCCCCUAGGAUCUUUGCCAAAUAUUCCUGUGAUUGGCACCUAAUACCUUGAUUGUUCCAUUGGUUUCAGAAUUGUAAUACUUGCUUGCACCCACCCACCUCCUACUUAUACCCACAUAACUCUACCCCACCCCUGCACCCUUCUUAAGUGGCCAUAUAUAACCGGAUAAUGACCCACCCAGCUGCAUCUAUCAACCACUAUUAUUGGCCACUUAAGUCCAUACAAAUCCCAAUAUCUUCCCAUCUUUACUUGAUUUCUCUCUAGUUCAUGCAGACCGAAAUGCUGGUUUGAAAACUUCUGCAGAUUACGUGCAUAAAAGAUGACAGACUUGCAUUUCAGAGACUACACCUUGACCUUGUGGAUGCUGACUCUCCUCAGCUUUAAGCUUUUCCAUAGUAGCUUUACUUUAUAAUCAAUGUUGUAAUUGAAAAGAGUUAUGUAGAUGUCUACUUCACUAGACGAUUCAUUCCUCCAUCACUGCAAAAAACCUUUUAACACAAAGGAUCCUCCACGGCUUCCAGCAUAGGCAGAGAUACACAUUCCUCCAACUCCCAAAACCAGAAAAUCCAGCAACACAUACAGCCCCCAAAACCAGAGGUGAACUACAGAGCAACAAAGCAUCAGAUAGCAUCCUAGAAGUGGUGCAAACCUGCAACUGCUAAGAAAAAACACCAAAGACCAGGACACAACCUAACCAACACCCAGUGAAAAUAGUGCUGAUUUUUUGGGAAUAAACCUGGUUUCCAGAGCUGACAGAUGAAAACUAAAACAAAUUUGUAUUUGAAAGUUUGAUGUGGGUGAUUUCCUUUCCAGCCAUAACACCAUGUGACUCUCUGUAACUAUCUCUCUCCUUAACGCUACUUUAAAGACAAACUUCCUGAUUUGGCCUUGGAUAGCUGCUGCCACAUCUGCCAUCAGAAACACCUGCAGUGGAGUAGCAUUGAAGCAGAUGCUAACAAAUUAACAGCAUCUUUGUCAGGUUCCAGUAUGGCCAGGAGUAACUCCUCCAUUCGAGCUCAUCACUUGACACUCUUUUCUCCUGCACAUAACAGCAAUUUCUCCACUUCAGCCUCUGCAACUAACCCAACAAGCGAGCCCCUCCUAGGUGAUCCAGUUGUUGUUUUAGUAACUAAACCAUUAAUAUGAUUUCUUUGCCAACACUGCUUCUGUCAUCCACAAUUACCUUCUUUUUCAGCGUAUACAUUGAAUGCAUUGGAUAGGAUGGGUUUUCAUAGUAAAUGGAUACAAUGGAUUCGAGGUUGUAUGGAAUUUGCUUCAGUCUCAGUGUUGGUUAAUGGGAGUUCUACGGAGGAAUUUAAACCAACGAGAGGAUUGAGGCAGGGCGAUCCUCUAGCCCCAUUCCUCUUUAUUGUGGUAGCCAAAGACCUUGCUGGGUUAGUAAGACAAGCUAUAAAGGUCAAUUUUCUGAAUGGUGUAAAGGUUGGAAGUAAUGAGGUCGAGUUGUGUAUGUUGCAAUUCGCUGAUGACACACUCUUUCUUCCUAUGUGAGAAGUCAUUCAAUAAUGUGGUGACUAUAAAGUCAAUUCUCAGGGGUUUUGAGCUAGCUUCAGGCUUGAAGACUAAUUUCCAUAAAUCAAAGCUAGUAGGCAUCAAUGUUGAUAGAAACACUCUUGCAUGCUACACAAAAACUCUGAAUUGCGCUCAGAUGGGAGUACCUUUUAAGUAUUUGGGCCUAGAAGUGGGAGGAAACCCAAGGAAGAAGCAGUUUUGGGAGUCUAUUCUAAACAAGCUAAAGGCUAUACUCAAUGUGUGGAAAGGGAGAUUCCUGUCGAUGGCAGGGAAAAUAUGCCUAGUUAAGUCUGUUAUCACUGUUGUACCUCUUUUCUACUCUCCCUUUUCAAAACACCGAAAUCUGUCUGCAAAAGCAUUAUCACUAUACAAAGGAGGUUCCUAUGGGGUUGGAGGAAGGAGAAAAGGUCGAUAUCAUGGGUAAGCUGGGAAAAUGUGUGUAAACCGAAAGGGGAGGGUGGCCUGGGUUGCAGAGAUAUUCGAAAGUUUAAUUAUGCUCUUCUGGCUAAAUGGAUAUGGUGCCUUUUAUCUUAAGAGAAAGGGAGGUGGAAGGAGUUACUGGUCUCGAAGUAUGGGUUGGACUUAGAAAGUUCCCAAACACAAGUGAAAUACCAAUCCUGGUGGUGGAGAGACUUAUCUAAAGUAUGUAGGGAGGGAGGAGGUUUUGGCUGGUUUCAAGAAGAAUUAGGUUGGAAACUAGGAAGUAGAGACAAAGCUAGAUUUUGGGAGGAUGUGUGGGUUGGCAAUAUCAACCUCAAAACUUUAUACCCUAGGUUGUUCUCACUGUCUUUAAAUCAGGGUCAAAAGGUGGAAGAGGUAGGUGUAUGGGAAGAAUCUGUAUGGUGGUGGAGUUUAAGGUGGAGACGUGUCAGGUUUGAGUGGGAAUCCAUGAUGGAAGCAGAUCUGGUAAUGUAUAUAUCUAGGGCCAUUAUGAAUAGGGAAGAGAAGGAUCGCCGGGUGUGGGGGAGUGAAGUAUCAGGGGUGUUGUCUGUGUAUUCAGCGUAUGAAUGUCUAGCUAAGCAUGUUAGAGGGCCUCAUCACGAUCUUUUCAAGUUCCCAUGGAAGGUUAAAGCACUCCCCAAUAUGAUGAUCACAACAUGGAGGGUUCUUCUGGGUAGAAUGCCAACAACAUUGUGUUUGAGCAGGAGAGGGGUGACGAUGAACACAAUUUUGUGUGCAUUAUGUCAGGCUAAGGAUGAAUCCUAUCAACAUCUUUUCUUACAAUGCAAAUAUGCUCAGUGGAUAUGGUCGGUGUGCUUCAAAUGGAUUGGUAUCUUAUUUGUCCAACACAAUGUUUUAAAGACUCACUUUGAGAAUUUCCAUUUGAUUCAGGCUAGUAGUAACCAAAAUCUGGUAUGGAAAGGUGUCUGGGCAGCUAUUGUGAGUGUAUUUGGGAGAAAAGGAACUCUAUAGUAUUUAAACAAGGGGUAGUAGAUGCGGAAGAAAUAUUCUAGAUGGCACAACUCAAGUUGUGGUUGUGGAUGAAGCAUAGGGUGCACACUUUCAAUUAUUCUUUUGUGGAUUGGGUCCUGAACCCACUUAUAUGCAUUAGAAGAUUGAGUGUCAGAUGGCGGUCAAAGGGUCUCCAGGGUAGCAGAAGGACUUGUUAUGCUUUCAAUUCUGAACUUGUAUCUGAGACGGAGUAAAAAAAUAGGGGAAGUGCAGAUGUGCAGGGUGCAGAAAACGAAAGUUGCUGGAGGAGAAGUAUGAGGUAUAUGCUGGUGCUCUGGUCUGGUGCCUGUAGUGGAAAAAUCCCGAUGCAGGUCCAUUUACUCAGAGGUUAGGCUAUGGUGAGUAGAGAGAUGAUGAGCAGAUUCAGCUUAGGAUGAGAAACUUGCAAAGGGUGCAGAGGCGAGAAUUCAAGUAGGAAGCGGUGGAAGGUGGGUGAUGCAGGAGCUGUUGGUGUGGGGUAGCAAUUCAGAAGAACUAUCUUCUGAGGAAGCUCGAUUGUUGCUGCUAGAAUGGAAUGGAGUUUUUAAUUAUUCAGGAAAGCUAGUACCACUGCUGAGAGUUUACGUGAGUGGGUGACAAGGGACUAAGAAGGUAUAUUCUUUUGAAAGAUUGAAAUGCAUGAUUGUAGGUGUUGGUACACCAAGUUUUUCGUUAAGCUACAAGAUUCCCCCAAGAGAUUAUCUUUCCUUGUUUGAAGCAUCCUAUGAGGCUUAUCCUACAGAAAUUAUUUAAUUUCUUGUACUCGUGGAUGUGGUGGAGUACUUUUAUCCAUGAUCAAGCUGCAGAUAACAGUUUAAAGUCUGGUGAAACACUGAAUUCUCUUCACUAAUACUACAAUCUAAGAGUUGCAAGUAUCCUUUAGAAUUUACGUGGAAGUACGAAGUGUAUAUGACGAGGAUGACGAGACGAGGCUGCAGUUUGGAAGUGUAACAGAGAUCAAUCUAUUGAUCAUGGUGAAGCAGUUCUAUCUUGAGGGGCCUGUGAGGUGCUGUUCUGGUGUGACGCAGCCAACUUUGCAGGUGCUGGGUUAAUGCAGACCUAGUGAUGCAGGGCAGGUUGGACCAUUUUAUAGCAGAUUUUUUUUUUGAUCAGCAAUGAAUGAAUUAAAUUAAGAGGGAUACUUUAGGGGUAUCCCAACCCGUUUACAAACCACAAACUGAUUAUACCGCUGAGCAGCCAUAAAGAGGCUAUACCUGCAGCGAUAGAUACAAGAUAAACCCUGCAGAAAAGAAACAUAGCAGCAGGAUUGAGCUCACAAACCCACUAGACCCAUCCUCCAUGCAAUCAUGAGAAGGGUGCUCUUAGCUUAUGAUCUAACCUUUAAAAAAAAAUCCUAAGGAUACCUCAUUAGCAGUAAAGAAAACAGCAAGUACCCCGAAAAUUUAAAAUCACAACUGCAGCAAAAACAGCAAACACCAAAGUGCUUGUAUAAAUUCUCAUCUGCAGCAGACUCCAAAAAGUGAUGUUUUCUUUUGCACUCCAACCCACCUCACCCAUUUCUACCCCUGCAUGUUCUACCAAGACCACCCCUUCCCUCUAUAAAAACCAAAAACCAUCGUCCAAAACCAGCACCUACAUACACCUACUGUUGUCCUUCCGUACUCCACCCUUCCAUAUCUUCCUCUGUUGUAGCCUUUUCCAACUUACCCAUGCCAAGUAAAACCAAAAACCCGUAGAUGUAUGUACACGAUGUGCAGCCUCCAAGCUCCAGCAAGCCUGUCCUGCACCACUAACCCAGUUCCAGCAUUCUCACACCUAUACCAGUGAUGUUUACGCCAGCUCACAUGUGGGUGAGAAUAGAUUGAGUGAAGGAUAGUGCACUUCUCAAAGCAGUGCAUACUCUCAAAGCCUAUUACAGCACCAGAGCUAUCUCAACUUCUCCCAAGAUCCCUAUCACUUUCCGACCUCCAACACCAACGCAUCCCUUUCCAAGCAUUUCAGCUUGCUUGAAUUGUCCUUGGGUCAUCAUAGGCACCCCUACCCAUCCUCUGCUCCCAUCCUGGACANNNNNNNNNNNNNNNNNNNNNNNNNNNNNNNNNNNNNNNNNNNNNNNNNNNNNNNNNNNNNNNNNNNNNNNNNNNNNNNNNNNNNNNNNNNNNNNNNNNNNNNNNNNNNNNNNNNNNNNNNNNNNNNNNNNNNNNNNNNNNNNNNNNNNNNNNNNNNNNNNNNNNNNNNNNNNNNNNNNNNNNNNNNNNNNNNNNNNNNNNNNNNNNNNNNNNNNNNNNNNNNNNNNNNNNNNNNNNNNNNNNNNNNNNNNNNNNNNNNNNNNNNNNNNNNNNNNNNNNNNNNNNNNNNNNNNNNNNNNNNNNNNNNNNNNNNNNNNNNNNNNNNNNNNNNNNNNNNNNNNNNNNNNNNNNNNNNNNNNNNNNNNNNNNNNNNNNNNNNNNNNNNNNNNNNNNNNNNNNNNNNNNNNNNNNNNNNNNNNNNNNNNNNNNNNNNNNNNNNNNNNNNNNNNNNNNNNNNNNNNNNNNNNNNNNNNNNNNNNNNNNNNNNNNNNNNNNNNNNNNNNNNNNNNNNNNNNNNNNNNNNNNNNNNNNNNNNNNNNNNNNNNNNNNNNNNNNNNNNNNNNNNNNNNNNNNNNNNNNNNNNNNNNNNNNNNNNNNNNNNNNNNNNNNNNNNNNNNNNNNNNNNNNNNNNNNNNNNNNNNNNNNNNNNNNNNNNNNNNNNNNNNNNNNNNNNNNNNNNNNNNNNNNNNNNNNNNNNNNNNNNNNNNNNNNNNNNNNNNNNNNNNNNNNNNNNNNNNNNNNNNNNNNNNNNNNNNNNNNNNNNNNNNNNNNNNNNNNNNNNNNNNNNNNNNNNNNNNNNNNNNNNNNNNNNNNNNCCCCUAAAAAGGGAGAGUAACUAUGUGGUUGAUGUAUACGGGUUGGGAUACCCCUGAAGUAUCCCUCUUAAUUUUAUUUAUUUAUUGCUGAUAAAAAAAAAAAAUUAGACAAUCCUCGUCUAGUUUGUGAUAGACAAUCUCUGUCCUAUCAGUAUUAGAUGGGUCACGUGUGACCUUACUCUUUCUUUGUAAAGUUACUUCAAUAGUAAGUUUCUCUUUUCUUUUCUUUAUCUUCUGUAUUCUUUUUCAAAAUCAAGAAGAAGAAAAAAAUGGAAAAGAUAAGGCCAACGUACACUGGUGCAAUGGAAAAAACAUAGAGGAAAUUGUUUCAUCAUGGUUGGUGAGAGAUGAAAGGCACAACUCGUGGUCGAUAGGAGCUUAGACCGAAAGAAAGGAAAGAUGGAUCAUAACAACAACUUUACUGUGAUAUUAAUGAAGUUUUUUUUUUUCUUUUUCAUUUUUGUUAGUUCAUUUUAAGAGUGAAUAUUCCUCUCUUUCGUCCUUUUCGGAAUCAACUCUGAUUUCUAGGAAACUAUUUCAACAAUUAAGAGAUGCCAAAUUCAUAAUCGGACUAUGAUAUACUUAAUUGAUAAAUAGAAAAAUAUAUUAGUCAGUAUGAAGAUAUUUUCUUACAAAUGUUACGUUGAACAUUUCCGUACGAAAUACUUGAAUGGUUUUCUAACGCCGCUGAAAAUUAAACAUUUUCACGGAUAUAGCAAAGACCAAUGCAAAAACUACUGUGAAUGCAACCAUCACAGCUGCAACCACUCCAAGAAAAUCAGGCUUGAAACCAAAGUAACUUCUCACAAAGCCUUCUACUGUUGUUGUCCCAUCACUGGAUUCAAUGCUUUGCUUUAUAUCUCCAUACUGUGAAGCCACCAAACCAUACAAACUCCAAGAAAUUGGAUUUGCCCAACUGUACCACCUCCACCAUACUGGGAUCCUCUGGUAGACCAUGCCAAAAAGGAAUAUUUCUCAUAAAUUUGCUACCUUCUAUGCUUGGAGAGUAUCAAUCUAUUGUGCAAUAAAUAUGAAAGGAAGAUGAAACUUACAGGCCGUGGGAUUAUGAAUCCUGAGAAGAUAUUCCACACUGCAUAAAAUCCUGAAGAAACUAUAGUGGAGAUGUGUUGGUUAGGGGUCAAUGCCACUGCCAUCAUUCCAUAGUAGGUGAAGUACAGGAAGGUAAAGAACAUGAAGAAUAGGCACCACAAAAAUUUAGCCACAGUCCACUCAUAACCAAUCAUUGCAUAAAUUAUAAUACUAUAGACUACAGCUUGUCCAAGUACAUACGGCAGCUCAAUCAGAACCUGCAACAGAAAUAUCAGAAAUAUAGAUAAGAAAGAAGGAAUGUAGAGGUAAAUAGAAGUAAUAAUUUCAAAUUCUGGUGAUAAUCACCUUAAUUACUAAUACAAACAAGAUAUCAAUUAUGGAUUUGACUCUAAAGGAGUUACUUUCUUUAGAGUUUAGAGGUUGAAGUAACUAAUCCUGGUUUUUGACGGAAAACUUAAUGAAUAAAUUUCCAAGACAUUCAUGAUUUUUAUGCAUGUAUACAUAAUAUUAACAGUUAGCUUUUAAUCAGUGAUUGAGAUCACUUAUUUUUCCUUUAUUUUCUAUAUUAAGUGUUGUGAACAUUAUGAUUUAGGAUCAAAUAACACUCAAAUAAAAGACAUAUAUUUAGAAAGUGGAAUUGCUUGCCUGGGCAAAAGCAUAUGGAAAAGCUGAAUACAUUCCAGCUGCUCUCUCCCUGUAAAAGACUGUCCGCUCAACAGCAACUACUGGCUGCACUGCACCAGAAUUCUUCAUACUAAGAAGGAGAACAGAAGCAUACAUGGAGCCCAUGACAUUGAAAAGAUCUUGUUGCUUUUCACUGCAAUAAUUGAUGGGGAAGUUUUAUGUUUGAUGAAAUAGUUGCAACAAAACAAAUGAGAAUGUCAAAGUUUCUUGUUUGAUCUUACAUUUUGGAGCCAAGGUUCCAAAACAUGCUUCCAAGCAAAACAGCUACAAUAGUGGAGAAUAGAAAUCUUAGAGCAGUGUAUUGAGAAUUGCGCCAGUAAGACCAAUGUUGUUUCCACAAGCAAGCCAUGCAUUGGGUGAAGAAGGAAGUUGAGCACUUUGAAGGAAAAUAAAGGUCUUUCGAACCCAGAGAUGGAGUACUUAAUUCUUUAACAAGUGCUUUAGUUCUCCUAAGAUAAAUGACAAAGACCAUAUAUCAACAACCACUCUACUUCUGAACUGAAAAUAAUUCUAAUAAUAAAAAAACAUAUUGGCCUUUUAGACCUUAAGUGCUCUCUAUCUUACUACUUUCGAGUCUAUAUUUUUAUUACACUAUACAACUGUAAAUACCUGUAUAACUCCGAAUUUUUAUACACCUCGGCAAAAUCAAUCCCCAAAUCCUUUUCUUUUGCUGAACUUGUGACUUCCAACAUCCAUGUUGCUGGAUUAUAGCCAUCUUUAAUCUUACCGAUACCUUGGAUUUCCUUCAUAAUAAAAGCGUGACAUGAGUGAAACUUUUGCAUGAAGAUUGAUUUGAAGCAAAACAUGAGUUCAGUAUUCCUCAUUUUCAUAGCAUUUAUAUUUUCACCUCAAAGUAACUAAUUAAAUUGGAAGAACGACGUCCAAGUGGCCCCGCAUAUAUCUCUUGCCCCCCUUGCUUCAUUAGAAAAAUCUGCAUUUUGUAGUGACAAAAGGUUAGAAACUUGGUUACGGAAAGCAGAAUAAACUUGGUACACUUAUUUUGUUUUUCACCUCAUCAAAUGAUUCAAAUAUGUCUAUGCUAGGCUGAUGGAUGGUACAAACAACUGUUCUUCCAGUGUCUACCGUGUUCCUAACCGUUCUCAUGACAAUAGCAGCUGCUCUUGCAUCUAGCCCAGAAGUUGGCUCAUCCAUGAAUAUUAUGGAAGGAUUUGCUACAAGUUCAACUGCAAUUGUCAACCUUUUACGUUGCUCUAUUGAGAGACCAUUAACACCUGGCAAUCCCACUAAUGCAUGCCUUAGUGGUUUCAAUUCCACAAGUUCCAUGACUUCCUCAAUGAACAUCUGCAAUCAUAUAUCAGCGUCAAACAUCCAAGUGAUUUUUUUAUUGUUUAACACUAAUAAUAUUGUUUCCUUUGUUACUUAUGACUUAAUUCCAAUCAUGAAUGGUAAUUGAUUCUAGUUUUGGCGCUUACAAAUUACUGUGAAAAUGUGCUUGCAAACUCGACAAAUGCAGUAUUGCUGAAAUGCUUACUUCAUGGCAACCUCAAGUUUUCAAACUAGUUGGCAGCCUUUGUUAAACUACAAUGAAUUAGCAUGAAUGAGUGUCAAAGACAUAAAAUUUAGAUACCAACCUUUCUGGUUUCAGCAUUGAUGUCUGGGAACAAUCUGAGCCAUGCUGAAUAAAGCAAGGAUUCAUACACAGUAACAUGAGGAGAGUGGAUGUCGUUUUGCUCACAGUAUCCUGAAAUUCUUGCAAAUGUUUCUUGCUUCUUCUGAUACCCAGAGAUUGUGAUGUUCCCUACAACAUAUCCUGAAGUUUUUCUACCGGCAAGUACAUCCAUCAGAGUUGUUUUGCCUGCUCCAGUGACACCCAUUAGAGCAGUGAGAACACCUGGCCUGAAGAAUCCACUGACACCCUUCAAAAGAACCAAUUUAUUCUCAACAACUCCUUGGUUUCUUAUUUCCUGCAAGUAUUUGAUAACAUUUAAUUCACAAUAUAAGCAUGUGUUUUCAAAUGGUUUAAUUUUGUUUCUACAUUACCUGUGGCAUGUCCACAGCAUAUGUUACUUCAUCAAAGGUGAUAGAAUGUGGUUCAAAAGGAAGAACCAUUCCUCUGUAGCCAGUGGUAAAAGAAUGAGAAGAUGUAUUUCCACAUAUACUUCCAUCAUUUCUCACUAUGAAGUAGUUCCAGCGUUAUCCAUUAGACGUAAUGUGAAUUGAAAAUAUUACAAACCUAGAGUUGACUAAGUUAUCUGUCGUUAAGAGAAGAGGUACCUUUAAUUGAGUGAUCAGUGAAGUUAUCUUUUUUGUAUCUCAUACCACCAUUUUUUUCAUUGUUUUCAGGUUCUUCGGCUAUAAAUGCAUGUUGCUUCCCAGGUGCUGCAAAAUCAAUUUUAACAAAUUAAUAGAUAGAUUUACCUUAUAUGGUUUAUUGAAUAUUUAAGCUGAAAACCCUCACUGCUCAAAUACGUAAGAGCAAGGAUGUAGCCAAAGUUGAAAAGUAAUGUAUAUCCAAUCAAAACCACAACGCCUAUCCAAAACCAAUAUGAUUGGAUGAAGAAUCCCCGUGAUUUCAAAACUUCGACUCCAAGAGGCUCCGAAGAGUUAGGUAGAACCUAUCAUAAAAAAUAUGUUUUAAAUAUCAUAAUAUUUAUAUAAUAAAGAAGACAUACAGGUAUAUAUUAUUUAAACUUACAUGUCUCCAUCUCUCCGCAAGGAACUCGUUAUUUACCAUAGCAUUCUGUCCAUACAUCAUAGGUGAUAUCCAGAAGCUCCAUAACCACCACUUUUUUAUGUUGUCUGGAACCAUAAAGAGGACAACAAUGCAUUGUUAGUGUAGAACAUAAUGGAAAGCAUGGGAGUGGUCUAUUUUGUAUCCAUGGUACCUUUUGAUAGGAUAAAACCACUCGUACCAAAAAGGAAGGUCACUGUAAAUGACCCAAGUGCUAAAGCUGCAUCCAAUUCCCUCCCAACUCCUGCAAGAAAUCGGAAUAAUGCGGAAGCCAUCUGGUUCACCACUAAAAGAACAAGGUAUUGUCUAAAAAAUCUGCAUUAUGGAAACAUAAAAUGAAUGUUAUUUUUUAUUUUCAGGGUUCAAGUAGAAAAUGAGACUAGAAAGAUCAACGAGCAUGUGUAAACACAAAGUUGUCUUUUACCUUCCAAUAUUUGGAUCAAAUCCAAUGACAUAAUAGGUUAGGAAUAGCCAGACGGCAACUUCUACAAAACUCAUAGGGAUUUUUAGAAUCCAUGCAGGCAGAGCAUAUGCCCAUGAAGGAAAAAACAGAUUAUCCCUUUGCUUGUAGAAAACAGGAAGCUUUAAAACGACCAUGGGAAGUUCAGCAAGUCCAUUGAACAUAAUCACAACAAGGCCAAAGAACAGUGCACCGACAUAUAUCCCGCCAUCAGUCACAGAGUCUCUGUGCAUCUCAGUUCGGAGGAAGAUGGUCAUGGCAAUAAAUGCCAUUACAGCAAGCUAAAUGGAGGGAGAAGCUACGAGUAAGACAAUAAUAGCAUUAUAUGACACGACAAUUAAAUGAACCAUUCUAAUUUCCAAACCUACUUGGCUCAACCGGAAGGUGUGAACAAAUGAAUUGCGCUUCAUAAGUAAAUAUUCUCUAGAUAAGCAAGCUUUUAACAGUUCCCAUUUCCCCACUCCAAACUUUUUGGUUGUCAAAGCAGCUGGGUGACUCUUAGACUUGUCAAAUUCACUAUCAAGUUCUUCUCGAAGGCUUCUCCCAACAUGAAAUGACUUGAGUGCCUCUGAGAAUUCUUUAGCUCUGACAAAUCUAUAAGGUUGAUCUUUAUGUGCCCAGUACUGUUCCUGGUCUUUCCUUGAUGUUACCUGUAGCAUAAUAAUCAAUGAUCAAAAUUAAAUUUAUAAAACUCUCUUAUACCGGUGUAGACAGAUUACAUUUUUCAGACAAUACACAAGGACACUUACUUCUUGCAAAAAGUCUGCCACACCUUUUCUCUCGGGACAUUGAAAACCCAUUGAUUCGAAAAAUUUAAGCACAUAUUCACGGGGACCUUCGUACACUAUAUGACUAUCAGAGGGUAGAAUAAUGUCAUCAAAAAGAUUGUAAGUCUCCGGCGCUGGCUGCAGGAGUGAGAUGACUGUGGUUCCUUUGAGAAUGUGAACACAAUGCUUGAGUGAAUUCACAAUUUGGAAGGUUGUUGAGCUAUCCAAACCAGUAGAUAUUUCAUCCAUGAAUAGAGUUUUAGCUGGUCCAACCAGCAUCUCUCCUGCAUUAAUAAGUUUAUAAUGAUUAAACUUCUCACAUACAUUCAUUUAAUUGAGUGAUGUAACGUAGUAGACUUCGGGAUUGAAAGAAAACAAGUUUUGUUUUACCUGUUGAAAGGCGUUUCUUUUGUCCACCAGAGAUUCCCCUUAGCAUUGUAUUUCCUACAACGGUAUCAGCACAUGUCUCCAGUCCUAAAAUCUGCAAAUACAAGUUAGACAUUAAAAGAAAAUAUUGUAAUGAGUGGAUCACGAUGAUUGGAGAAGCGUUAGAAAGAAGGGAUUUUAUACCCUUAGGACGUAAUCUGUUAUCAAAUUUGCUUUCUGGCCUUCAGUUGCUACAGCCUGAGUAUUAAGAGUCAAAAGCACAAUCAGUUAAUAUCUAUAUGGAAAAAGAAAAAACUGAUGAUUCACCUAUAACUGAUUGAGAAGGCAACUCUUAGAGUUGGUGCCCCUAAUUUUUGGCCUGGCCAAAAAUCUUGGAGGUGCUACCAAUUUCGUGAUGAAAUAAUUUUGAGAACUUUUUUUAGUAUGCUCUUGUGCUAGGAUCUUUAUAUGCAAUAAUAUAAUCAAUUUUCAAUAUAGUGAACUGUUUGUCCUCUGCCCAUAAUUUAUUUCCUGUGAAGAGUUUUCUAAGUUAAAUCUGUGUUUAUUCUUUUCUACUUUCUUUAUUCACAUUAUUUGUAAUUGUAACUGAAAUUAUUAGCUACUUCUUUGUUGUGCUUUUCGUAUAUCAAAUUUAUCACUUAUGUUUUCUUCAAAAGAACCCUUCUGGACGACAAAUUUUGCAAUUAAUAGCAAGAAGUUGAAGAGGAGAGGAAUGUCCAAAAUUGAACAGGGUAUUAUAGUAGCAUUGCUAAGCUGUCAUACUUCUUUGUCUUUGGCUUGAAUGGCUAUCAGUAAUCAACAAUAUAAAAAAGGCUAAGAGAUAAAAGUCAAAUGGGAAAAACACAUUCUUUGUUACCUUCAUGUAGACAUCAAUAUCUGGAUCAGGCAUGAUAUUUGCCUCUUUUUCUCUUCUCGACAAUUCUGCAAGUAAAUCUGCAUAAAGCCAAAAUUUAUACACAUAAUCAAAACUUAAAUUCCACGUAUAAUGUUAGCAUGUGUUUUGAACAUUGAACAUGAACAAAAGUCAUUAUUCGUGCUGCAGAUUAACCAUAACGAGGUCCAACUCCUUGGACUCUUGCAGAGAAGGCCAGGGUUUCUCUGACAGUCAACUCUGCAAUAUGAAGAUCAUUUUGAUUGACAUAUGCUGCAGUUCUUUGGGGUACAAACUCAUCCAUCGCAUGACCAUUAUAAGUCACCUUUCCAGAAAACUGAUCAAGAAACACUAUAUCACCUAGAGAUCCAAGAUUAAAAAAAAUAGAGAAAAAACAUGAAAUAUCUUUAUAAAAAAAAAUUAUUUUCUUGGAUGCCCCAACCUUUAACUUUGGAUCAAGUCUUGCUGCCAAGGCCAACAAUAGUGUGGUUUUUCCAGAACUUGGAGGGCCCAAAAGUAAUGUCAUUCUGAACAGUAGGAAAUGGAAACAUUAUAUUGGUUCCGAAGGUGCUGGUUAAUUACCACCUUAUAUAUAUAGAACACCACUUUCAUUACCUGCCAGGCUUUAUUAUUCCACUGACAUCCCGGAGAAUAUGUAUAUGUUGUUUUCUACUUUGUAGAAUAUGAAGAGAGUUCAACAAACCCUUUUAACGAAAAUAAGUGAAACCAAAUAUUGAACAAAGUUAGAACUCCUUCUGUAAGGUCAAGGUGCAUAUUCUACUAAAUAUGAAAGCUGGUACCAAUACUCACCUCUACAAUAUUAACCAUGAAGUUAGCGAAAGUAGGCAAAGCUCUAGUUCCUACACUAGCUUCUGCUUCGACAUUCAAGUUCUCAAACCGAACCUCUAUUGUCGGAAGAUCAAUUCCAACUCUGAUAUCAUCCAAUCCAAGGAAGCAAGAUAGGAGUAGGAGAAGCCAUCCAUGAGUGCAUUUCGAUCAAAGACAACUUCAUUAGAAUCAGAACAAAAGAGAAUGGGAGUCUUACCUAUCAAUUCGUUCCCUUAACUUGAGCAAAAACUUCUCAUUGUCCUCUUCAGCAGUUCUGAUCAGUCUUUCAAGUAAAGCUCUCCUUUCUUGCAACCCAAGUUUGUGCACAUCAAUCUCAUUCACUUCCCCUUCGGAUGAAGUGAACAAAGCUUUCCUCAUACGCGAAACGGUGGGAAGUUUCUGAAUGGCAGCCCAUUUGAGAGCCUCUUCAUCAUCCUCUUUGUGCAAUGAGUUUGAGAAGAUAUCCUUAUCACUGUCCCUGCAAAUGGAUGAACUACCAUUCCUGAAACUACCCCCACCCUCCAUUCAACCGGACAAAAUAACAAAACAAAUAGAACUUUAAACCCUACUGUAGCCACCGCUAAAAUCUUGUUACUGUUUCGCAGAAACAAAAAGCAUUCUCAGUUUGUUUUGCCGAUGUUUUCAUGUGGUUGAAAGGAUCCAAUUAUUUUCCCAGAAUGGGACAUGCAGGAAAAAGGAACUAAGAACAUGCAGUUUUAGCAGAGUUAAAUAUGGUGGGAGGGUUUUGAAGUGGCAACAUAUGCAUAUCUGCGCACAUAAGUGUAGCCACCACCUUCACCUGCUGAAGAUGCAAUAGUAUGUUAUUACUUUGCACGAGCCAAAUAUUGUAUAAAAAAAAGGAUUACCUGUGAGACAUACGGGUAGUGGAAAGCCUAUAUUUUUGCUAGAUAUGUAUCAAAAUUGAGAUGAUUGACUUUUUUUUAUUGAAGAGAAAGAUUAUAUAAAUAAAGAAGUAUUUGAGGUGCUUCCCACUCAUAAAGAAAGAAAGAAAAAAUAGAAUAAAGAAUUGAUUAGAAGUAGUGUGAUCCCUACUCUCUCUUUUCCCAUAAAACACUGCACUCAACACAGUACAUGUCCCUUUCCAUGAAAGCCCAUGUUCAGAUUAGUCUAUAUAUUUUUAGUAUAUUUCUUGUUAACCUUACUUAUCAAUAAAUAUAUUUUUAUUUUUCAAUUUGUAACGUAAGUAGUAGUAUAUUUUUUUUUUCUGUGCAAGAAAGACUGAUUUUUUUUUAUGGAUGGACAACUGAUACUUAUCAUAUUUAUGUUUAAUAAAUAGUAUUUUUUAUGGGCAGUAGAACCAUACUUUUUCUUUUUAUGUGAAAACUGAUAUGGCAGCAACAGCUUUUGGAGUGAGUAGUAAGAACUUUUGCCCUUCUCAGCUCUUGUGAAUGGAACAAACACAGUUGGAAGGAUAUUUGGUCCUACACUUGAUAGAGGACACUUACAAAAGAAAAAAAAAUACACUACUCACAGAUUUCGUUUUUCUAAAAUCUUGGGAUCACACUUCCGAAUAAUCAACUCUCAGCUCUUGGAUUAUUGUUUUUGUUCACUAAAAUGGGUUGAGUUGUUUUGGAAAUUAAUAAAGUAUUUUUCUUUCUAAUAUUUAUUGAAAUGGUGUUAGUAGGAGUGAAAGCCAACUUUUGUUUAAUUUUCUACUUUUUUUAUUUUACAACUUGUCAAUUUUAUUUUGGUUGAAAUGAGUCAAAUUUUGGUAAAAGAAGUUAUGGAUUGUUUAAUGCUAGCUUAAUCCACGCUCCUUGUCUAGUUUCUAGUUUCCAAAUUUCAACCCAUAAUUUAUUGUAUUUCAUUAAAGUAUAAAUGAAAAUAUAAAUGCAUUUUAUGUCUUAAAACCAUAUAGCGGAAAACCUCUAUUUUAGCUAGAUAUGUACCAAAAUUGAGUUAACCUUACUUAUUAUAGAUAUAUAUUUAUGUUUUUCAAUUUGUAACCUAAAGAUAGUUUUUUUUUCUGUGCAAUAAAGGCUACAUUUAUGGAUGGACCGCAUAAUUGCGUUAAUUCUGCUGAUAAAAAAAAUGCUUCCAAGGGCAUAAUCAACUCUCAAGGGCAUAUUACUAUAUCUCAAGGGUACUGGAGAACAAGAUUGCUACUAAGAUUAAUUUGACAAAACAUGAGAUUUUGGUGGAUAUUACUGUAUGUUGCUUUUGUAAGGAGAAAGAGGAAACCACAAGUCAUUUGUUCAUUGAAUGUAGAGUUGCUUGGUUAAUAUGGAAUUUAUGCUAUGAUUGGGUAGGGGUGAAGUUGGCUGAUCCUCUUGAGCCCGCUUCACAUUUCUUGCAUUUUAACUUGAUUGACGCUCCUGCUACUGUCAACUUAGCUUUUAGAAAUAUUUGGAUUGCUUUUAUUAGUGAAAUUUGGAAUCAUAGGAAUAAGCAUAUUUUCAAGGAAGGAGUGAUUGAUCAUUCUGAAAUCUUCUUUUUAGUUCAAUUGAAGGUAUAUAUGGUCUUGGGUUACUUCAAAAGUUCUUUUUGCUUGUUUUUCCUUUUCUUAUUAUUAUCUUGAUCCUCUAGUCUAUAUGUUUUCAAUUAAAAACAAGUGAUGACUGGUUGGUUGGGUUGGUUUUCCUUCUAUAGUUUUGUGAGGGACAAUUGUUCAGUUUUAGAUUGAUGUGGACUUUUGUCCAAAAUGUAUAAGGGUUGAACCACUCUUGAAGUGGUUCAUAUUUAUUUAUUUAUUUAUUUUUCUUGUUGAUAAAAAUAAACUAGAUUCUACAUAUCAUUUUUUAUAUGGGUUGGGGUCUUUUAACUAUUAUGCCAUUUAAUUUAAUUAUUAUUUAUUGAUAAAAAAAUAUAUUAAAGAUGUAUAUUAUGAAAUUAUUAAAUAAAACUAAUUUUAGAGAAAAAAAUAAUUAGUCACGAUAUUGAUUAAAUUAGAUAAUUAUUUGAGACAAUAAAUAAUUAAUAUAAAUUAAUUUUUACUAUUAAUAAAAUUUAUAAACUAAUUUCUAAAUUGGUAUUUAAUUAGUUACUAAGGUUUUAACUAUCAAUUACUUUAUAUUUUAAAGUUGGUAGCUACUUAAAUAUCAAUUUAGAAACUAAUUCAUAAAUUUUAUUAAUAAUAGAAACUAUUUUAGAUAUCAAUAAUUUUUUAUUUUAAAAUAAUAUUUAAUUUAGUCAAUAUAAUGACUAAUUAUUUUUUGUCUCUAAAAUUUGUUUAUAUUUCAUGAUUUUCUUGUAGUGAUAUAUAUAAUUAUUAUUAUUAUUAUAUAUAUUUAAUUUGGGGUGUAAUCUUUAUUUAUUUAUAGUUUUAUAAAAAAACUUACAAAAGUUAGAUGUAAGAGUAAAAUUUAUAUUAAAAUAAAUUUUUAUAGAUUAAAAUAUGGAUUACUUUUUUAAUUUGUAUUUCAGAUUUUCUUAAUUUAUCAUGAAGUUGUAUAAAUUAAAAAGUGUAAAGUAGUGUAGAAAUAGUUGCACAAUUAAUUUUCAUUAAAUAUGAAAUAUAGUUUUACCAUAAAGUAAGAAAAAAAUAAAUAAAUAUGAACCACUUUACCCUUAUACAAAGCACAAUAAGUCUCUUCAUCCCUUCUAAACAAUCUAACCUUUUUAAACUUAGAACAACAAACAACCAAAAGAAGUAAACCUUACAAAAGUUUACUUAAUUGAAAACAUACAAGCCACAGGAUCAAUACAACACUCAGAUUAAGUAAAACAAGCAGAAACCAAGGCCAAGCCUUUAAUUGGGCCAAAAACACUUCCGAAAGAUCGAUCACCCUCCUUGGAAAAUAUGUUUAUUAUUGUGCUUCCAUAUUUCACUAACUACAAUAAUCCAAACACAAUUCCAAACAACAUUUACGUGGACAGGAGCAUUUAACAAAUUAAAAUGCAAGAAGUGAGCAGUUUGAUCAACAUGAUCAACCGACGCAAUCCCUAACCAUGCAUAACACUUAUUCCAGACUAACCAAGCAAUCCUGCAUUAAAAAAACAUGUGUUUUGUCGACUCCACUGCCAUCCUGUAUUGUUUAUCUCAUGGUGUAAAAAUGGGUUGAGUUGUUUUGGAAAUUAAUAAAGUAUUUUUCUUUCUAAUAUUUAUUGAAAUUGUGUUAGUAGGAGUGAAAGCCAACUUUUGUUUAAUUUUCUACUUUUCUGAUUUUACAAAUCAAAAUUAUUUUGGCUGAAAUGAGACAAAUUUUGGUAAGUUUUGGUAAAAGAAGUUAUGGAUUGUUUAAUGCUGACUUAAUCCACUCUCAUUCUUAUCUAGUUCCAAAUUUCAAUCCAUAAUUUAUUGUAUUUCAUUAAAGUAUAAAUGAAAAUAUAAAUGCAUUUUAUGCCUUAAAAUAUAGUGAAACCCUAUAUUUUAGUUAGAUAUAUGUAACAAAAUUGAGUUGACCUUACUUAUUAUAGAUAUAUUUAUGUUUUUCAAUUUGUAACCUAAAGAUAGUAUUUUUUUUGCAAGAAAGGCUACAUUUUUUAUGGAUGGAAUGCAGAUUUGCGUUUGCUGAUAAAAAAACACUUGCAAGGCAUAAUCAACUCUCAACUCUUGGAUUAUUGUUUGUUUCACUAAAUGGGUUGAUUUGUUUGGGAAAUUUAUAAAAACACUUUUCUUUUCUAAUGUCUAUUGAAAUGGUGUUAUAGUGUAGGCCUGAAAAACAACUUUUCAUAUUUUUUUUAUCAACAAUGAAUAACAUGAAUUGAAAGAAAUAUUUUAAGAAUAUUUCAAUAUGUAUACAAAAUUAAAAAAAAAAAGCUUAAAAUACAACAUAACACAAUCUAGUAGUGCACGAUCCAAUACCAGCAAGAGUUGGAUGUUCUACUUUGAUUUAAUGUUCUACUUUUCUGAUUUUACAAAAUCGUCAGUUUUAUUUUGGCUGUUUUCUUCCAUAAAAUAGUUAAAAUUUGGUAAGUUUUGGCAAAAGAAGUUAUGGAUUAUUAAUGCAAACCUAAUUAAUCCACACUCAUUCUCAGUUCCCAAAUUUCAACUCAUAAUUUAUUUUAUUUAAUCAAAUUAUUAAAUACAAAUAUAAAUGCAUUUUAUAUCUAUAAAUCACGUCCAAUAUUUACUAUAUUUAUGGAGAACCCAUAAUAUAUAUAUAUAUAUAUAUAAAAGAUGGAGAUUCAUGAAUAUUUUUUUUUUCAUCAGAAAUAGCAAAUUAAUAUAAUAAAAAAUAUUUCAACCUUUAUAAAAGUACAAAAAGAAAAAAAAAACCACUGUCAUCUACACCUAAACUACACAAUCAAAAAACUCUGGCCUAUACAAGCCUUCUGCUGCAGCAUAGGAAAGUACCACUGCUCCACUACUCACAACUAUAUAUAAAUAGGAUAACUAUAUAUUGAGAAUUCUAUUUCUUUAUACAAAUAUUAUAACCUUCAAUAUUAUUAUUAUAAUAUUUUUUUAUAAUAUUUAAUUAUAAAUUUACUUUUUAUUAUAUAUAUUUAUAUUUAAAUCAAUCGUACCAAGAAUUAUAUACAAUAUAAGAGUUGUCAAAGUAACGUAUAAAUAACACAUGUUAUCUAUCAAAAACUAGAGAAAAUAUCCCAAAAUUCAAUGGAUACAUGCAUUUCAUAAUCUCCAAUCCUACACAUUUAUGACCUUACCCUAAUGUUUCAAAUAAAUAUAACCCAAAAAGUAUAUUUGUGACAUAAUACUUGGAAUAAUUCCCAUCUUCGUAGAUCGAAUUCAAAGCAAGAAAACCUUAUCCUUCCACUCUUCAACAUCCUGUAUCACCCCAUCAAGUUUUUCCAUACACUACAAAAAAAAAAUCAGUAUUAUCUACGGAUUUUUAUCCAUAAAUCUGAGUCCGUAGGUAAAUUCAGCAUUACAUACAGAUAUUACCUACGAACAAUAUUACCUACGAACAUUACCCACAAAUUCUGAAUCCGUAGGUAAAUUCAGCAUUACCUACCAACUAUUACCCACAGAUCUUAUUACCUACCAACUUUUACCUACAAAUCUCUAUUACCUACCAACUAUUACCCACGAAUCUCUAUUACCUACUAAUUAUCACUCACGGAUCUCUAUUACUUACCAAUUAUUAUCACAAUAAUUAUAUACAUAAUAUUAAUAUAAUAUGAAGAAUUAUAAAAUCAUAAUUCAUAAUAUUAAUAAUAUUAAUAAUAUUUAAUAAUAUUAAUAAUAUUUAAUAAUAUUAAUAAUAUUUUAUAAUAUUUAAUAAUAUUAAUAAUAUUAAUACUAUUUAAUAAUAUUAAUAAUAUUAAUACUAUUUAAUAAUAUUAAUAAUAUUUAAUAAUAUUAAUAAUAUUUAAUAAUAUUAAUAAUAUUUAAUAAUAUUAAUAAUAUUUUAUAAUAUUAAUAAUAUUUUAUAAUAUUUUAUAAUAUUAAUACUAUUUAAUAAUAUUAAUAAUAUUUAAUAAUAUUAAUAAUAUUUAAUAAUAUUAAUAAUAUUUAAUAAUAUUAAUAAUACGAAGAAUUUUAAUAAUAUUAAAAAUAUUUAACAAUAAUAAUAAUAAUAAUAAUAAUAUUAAAUAUAUGAAAAAUAUUAUUAAUUUUUAUUUUAUUAAUUAUAUUAAUAUUGAUAAUUAUAUUCAUAAGUAUAAUUGUUCUCGAACUAGGUUGGGGACUGGGAGAACUAUUGCCUUCGAACGUCACUCGGUCGGUCGUGCUUCGCUUCCUCCUUCGGUCCUUCUUUCUGGAUGACUCCUCAGGCGGGUGGUGUACCUGCAGAUGGCACUCCAACGCUCAAGUCAGUGGGGUAUCGUAUUCGGCUGGCUGGAAUACUGUAGAUAAUGACGUACCUGGUUCUUGGAAUGCGUGAUAUUUAUAUUACCUUGAUGGGCCCUCGCUGUUGGGCCGGAUUAGGGGGUUGCUUAGCGAUUAGGGUUGGAUUAGGCCGUUUCCUAAUCAUAGGUUAACCUUCGUUAAUUGGGUCAACCUUUGACUUAAGCUCUCUGUGUCGGUCGGCCACGUAUGACACAUGGUCGACCUCGUACCUUGGAGUAUGAUCUUGACAAAUAAGUUGACCGGGUUUAGGGACCGGUCGGUCAUCCCAGUACAGUUGCCUCCCAGGCUCGAGAGGUGGUACAGCCGAAGAGUCUGAAGAAUGGGGCACGGGCGGAUUGUGUAAUGAUGAAUGAAGUGAUGUUUGGGGGCGUCUGAGCGAUUGACAUGACGCGCAUUAAUGAGGGAUUUUUCUGAGCGCGGAGCGAUGCGAACCGUUGGAUCAAACGAAUCCAACGGUUGGGGUUAUUGUGACGUUUGGAAUUUCGAGGCCCUCCCGGGCUAUAAAUAGGGGCUGGGAAUAGUAGCGUUUCACGCGUUAUCUUUGCUUGAGCUCCGACACCUAUUACCAAUCCGACCGUCUUCUGUUGCUUUUCCUCGUCCGUCUUCAAGGUUAGUCAUGUCUGUCCUUGCCGAGUCUCCCCCGGCUUGCUCGUCUUCUUCGUCUUCUUCCUCUUCUUCUUCUUCUUCUUCUUCUUCUUCUUCUUCUUCUGGCCAGGCUUCCCCUGUCGGGGAAGUGGAGAGGGUUCCCUCUCCAGGCUUGGUGAGGGAGGACGCUGGUAAUGCGUUCGACCGCUCGGCCCCUUUUGAGGGGCCGCGCCCCCAUGUAGGGCCGGCCUGGGUAGAUCCCCGGGUAUGUGAGGUGUCGUCCUUCUUUCUUACCGACGCCUCUGUUGGCGCAUUUUUGGAUGAGGUUCCUGUUUUGAAGGCUUCGGCCGAGGAAUCCUUGAUGGCGUUCGGUCCUUGCUCUUUGGAGGACCGCGUGUAUCGGGAGCGGUCAUCUACCGAGCCUCCUUUUUUCUUCAUGUAUGCUUGUCUUUUUUCGGACUUGCACGUGUCUCUACCCUUCGAUGCCUUCACGGCCGGGGUUCUGAAGGAGCUGAACGUGGCUCCGACUCAGCUCCACCCCAACUCGUGGGCGUCGAUGCAAGCGUUCCGCAUUGUUUGCCGGACGUUUGGGUUGCGCCCUCUUCCCUCCUGCUUUCUUCAUUUCUAUUCGUCACACCCGGCCAAGCUUGUCAGCUGGCAAUCGCUGGUCAGCCGGGCGGGCAGUGUGUUGUUCAAGCCCUUCACGGCCUCUUAUAAGAACUUCAAGGAGAAGUUUUUUAAAGUGUACGUGGAGCCGGCUGGGACACGUUAUUUUUUUGAUGAGGUUGGCCGGUCCCGCUUCCCUCUUUUUUGGUCGAGGAGUCCGACAAAGAUAACGGAUUGGCCAAGGCCGGCGCAUCCGAGCGAGCAUGAGCGGCUCGUUUUUUCUUUAUUUGAUAGUCUCCCCAGGAAGCUCCCCGCACGACCGCUCAUGUCGUUGUACAAUGCGACCGAUCGCGCGGAGGCUUUCGAGGGUAUGUUCUUUUUCAUGCACUUGGCCUUGUUAUAUAUAUAUAUAUAUAUAUAUAUAUAUAUAUAUUAUUUAUUUUAUUUUAUUUUUAUUUUUAUUUUANNNNNNNNNNNNNNNNNNNNNNNNNNNNNNNNNNNNNNNNNNNNNNNNNNNNNNNNNNNNNNNNNNNNNNNNNNNNNNNNNNNNNNNNNNNNNNNNNNNNCGGAGGAGGCUGGCCCCUCCAAGAAGCGUAACCGCGAGGGCGGCAACAUUGCCCGGACAGUUAGGGCGGCGGGUCAGAUGCCCACCCCCCUCCCGCAAGGUCUGCUAGGCCGACUCCCCCUCCGACUGAUGACUUUAACCGCCCCAUUCCGACGGGGGUGGCGGUCCCCUUGGCCACCGCGGGCGGCUCGAUGCUCGCGCUUGGGGAUGACCGGUCCUUCUCCAGGGCCGUGAGCUUCAAACUGCCCUCCAACAUUGAGGGUGAGAUCCGGUCGGUCCCUAACGACGACCUCCUGGACGGCGGCAUCGAGAUGAUCUGCCGGGGUCUAUUCUUGGCACGCCGGGGUGCAGACGCUCGGAAGAGCCGGGUCGAGGACAUAUCGCGCCUCGAACACGAACUCCAGGAGGCCGGCCACAAUCUGAAGCAGGCCAUGGAGGCCAACACAACUUACGAAAAGAAGUUGUGUGCUCAGGGGGCCGAGCUGGAGCUGCGUCAGCAGAGGGUGGCCGAGCUGGAGAGGGCCGAUGCCGAGAAGGCUGCGGAGGUUAUUCUCCUUCGCAAGGCGUUGGAAGAUGCCGACCGUAGGGCCCGCUUGAAGGAGGAGGAAACUGCGGCCGAAAGCGAGGCCAGGAGGGUGGCGGAGGCCGAAGUUCUGAAGACCAUGGAGGACACCAUGGUGCUCAUUGGCCAGAGCUUCGAUCUUGCCGUCCGACAGGCUGAGGUGCUGUAUGGCGGUCCACCUCCAUCUGGUCAAUUUGACCAAGACAUGGACGUUGUGGAUGGCCGUAUGGUCCCUGCAGCGGCCGGUCCUCCUCAAGUUGAAGAAGUUGAAGCUGACCCCUCUAAUGAGGUGUUGAAUAUCGUAGACUAGGCGGUCAGCUUUACUUUUAGACCCCUGGGGCCGGGGUGUGGCCCCCACCUUUUUUCAAUUUUAAUAUAAGUUCUUUUCUUUAAUUGUUUCUUCAUUUUCUGGACGAUCGAUCCUUUACUAGCCGAUUGGACUUGAACCUGUAAACUUGACUCAUAAUAUUAACGGAGUAAAAAGAACGGAGCAACCGGUCGGUGUGUGUAAGCAAUUAACUUGAGAACUAAAAUCAACCAAGUGAUUGUAACGAAGUUCGGUAGGUGGACUUGUGUCGAUCGUUGUGUAUGUCCCGGGAGGGUAUGCCGACUAAGGCUACAUCCUGGCCGAGUGAGUUCGGGAGGGUAUGCCGGUUAAGGCUACAUCCUGGCCGAGUGGGUACGGGUUCGGGAGGGUAUGCCGGUUAAGGCUUCGUCCUGGCCGAACCGUUAUUGUCGUUCAUUGUAUACACUUAUAUAUGAAACGCCUCGUUAAAACCUCUCCGACCGAUAGACAGGCCGGGCGAGGAAAGAGUGCGUAUAUUUUAUUCAUGUUUAGCUGAAAUAAAACUUUAGGUGCGUGGCAUUCCACGUCCUAGGUACAAUUUUUCCCGAUAGGUGCUCUAAAUGGUAAGCUCCCCCUUCUCCCACUUCCCGGAUUCGGAAUGGUCCCUCCCAAUUUGAUGAGAACUUGCCGUCCGACUUCCUAGCGUUGCUGCGCAUUCUCCAGACGAGGUCACCUUGCUGAAAGCUUCUGGGCUGGACCUUCGAGUUGUAUCUCCUUGCCGCUCGGAGCUUGCACGCCGCUUCUCGUAUCUUGCUCUUAUCUCGAAGCUCGUUCAAGAGGUCGAGGCCGACCGCCAGACUUUCCUUGUUGAGGGAUAAGUCGAAGAGUUGGCGUCGGAUGGAUGGCUCCCCGACUUCUACUGGUAUCAUGGCCUCGGUGCCGUACGUGAGGCUGUAAGGGGUUUCUUGUGUGGUGGAUUGUGGGGUGCAGCGGUAUGCCCAUAAGACCUCGGGCAGUUCCUCCGUCCAUCUUCCCUUGGCCGUGCCGAGCCUCUUCCUUAGUUCGUUCAACAAGACCUUGUUGGCCGCUUCGGCUUGUUCGUUCGUCUGUGGGUGUUCGACUGAGCUUGUGAGGGAUUUGAUGCCGAGGUCGUCGUAGAAGGUCAUGAGGCCUUGAUCGAUGAACUGCCGGCCGUUGUCGGAGACUAUUGAGUGUGGUAUGCCGAACCGGCAUACUAUGUUUUUCCAUACGAAGUUUUGGACGUUUCGGGCGGUGAUUGUGGCUAGUGGUUCGGCCUCUAUCCACUUGGUGAAGUAAUCCACCGCGACCAGCAGAUGCUUUGUCUGGCCUUUGCCUGGGGAGAAUGGGCCGAUGAUGUCCAUUCCCCACAUAGCGAACGGCCAGGGCGACGUCAUACUAUGCAGUUCCUCUGGUUUUCGGUGGUGGAGAGGGCCAAACUCUUGGCAUUUUUGGCAUUUCUUGACGUAGUCAGCACUAUCUCCGUGGACGGUCGGCCAAUAAUACCCUGCGCGGAUUAUUUUGGCUGCCAUCGUNNNNNNNNNNNNNNNNNNNNNNNNNNNNNNNNNNNNNNNNNNNNNNNNNNNNNNNNNNNNNNNNNNNNNNNNNNNNNNNNNNNNNNNNNNNNNNNNNNNNCCUUCGUGGAUCUCUUGCAGCACAUACUGGGAUUGCUCCUUGGUGAGGCACUUUAGGAGUGGCGUGGAGUACCCCCUUCGGUAUAGAUCCUGACCGAUCAUGGUGUACCGGGCGCACUGCCGUCUGAUGUUCUUCUCUUCCCCCGGCUGGCAUGUCCCAUGCUCCAAGUACUGAGUGAUUGGGGUCAUCCAUGUGUGGGUCUCGGUGACUGUCAUGCACUCGGCGUCGCCCACACUCGGCUGUGCUAGUCGCACCUGGACGACCGAUCGAUGGUGGCUUUGUUUUUUCGUGGAUGCCAGGCGAGAGAGUGCAUCGGCGCGCUCGUUUUCCUCUCGUGGUAUGUGUUGGACCGCCACCGCGUCGAAUUUGGCCAUGAUGUUACGAACGGUGUGGUAAUAUCGUUGGAGGAGGGGCUCCUUGACUUCGAAUUCUCCUUUGAUUUGGCCGACGACCAGCUGGGAGUCGCUCUUGCAUGCGACCUCUCGCGCGCCCAGGUCAUUCGCCAAGUUGAGGCCGACCAGUAUGGCCUCGUAUUCCGCCUGGUUAUUCGUUGCCUUGAAGGAGAACUGGAGGGCUUGCUCAAUCAGUAAGUCCCCCGGCCCUUCGAGGAUGACCCCGGCUCCGCAGGCUGUUUUAUUGGAAGAGCCGUCCACGUAGAGGACCCAUUUGGUUGAGACUUCUGUGUUCUUGGGGAGCUCGGCUGCGAAAUCCGCUAGGCAUUGGGAUUUGAUGGCGCCCCUCGGUUCGUACUUGAUGUCGAACUCUGAAAGCUCGACCGACCACCCUAUCAUUCGUCCUGCAAGAUCGGGUUUAGACAAAAUUUUAUAUAUGGGAUAGUUGGUCUUUACCCUGAUUUCGUGGUUCUGGAAGUAUGGGCGCAUUCUCCUUGCCGUCAGCACUAGGGCUAGUGCCACCUUCUCUAUCAUUUGGUACCUGGUCUCGGCUGCAUGGAGCGUCCGGCUGACAAAGUAUACAGGGUGUUCUUCGCGGUCUACCUCCUGGACAAGGGCGGCACUUACUGCCUCCUCCGAUACCGCUAAGUAGACCACUAUGGGUAGGUCUAGGCGGGGCUUCUGGAUGACGGUCGGUAAGGACAGGAAUUCUUUGAGCUGGCCGAAGAUUUGCUCGCAUUCCUCGUUCCAGCUGAAUUUCGAAGUUUUGCGGAGCAUAGCGGCUAUCGGUCUGAUCCGUUCGGCGAGGCGGGGUACGAAUCUGGACAGUGCUGUCAGUCGGCCAAGCAGCUGUUGAAUUUCCUUCAAGUUUUUUGGGCUCCUCAUCUCCGUUAUGGCCUUGCACUUGUCGGGGUUUGCUUCGAUUCCUCUGUGGGUCAGCAUAAAGCCGAGGAACUUGCCGCCUUCGACGCCGAACGCGCACUUCUCGGGGUUAAGGCGCAUGUUGACCUUUCUUAAAGCGUCGAAGACUUCUUGUAGAUCUUUGAUGUGUUGGCCGCACGAGUCGGACUUCACCACGAUGUCGUCCACGUAGACUUCUACGCUUCGGCCAAUCAUCCCCUUGAAAAUUUUGUCCAUGAGCCUCUGGUAGGUAGCUCCGACGUUUUUUAGGCCGAACGGCAUCACCUUGUAGAAGUAGUUUGCACCGUCCGUCGUGAAGGCCGUUUUACUUCUAUUGCUAUGGUGCAUGCUGAUCUGGUUGUAGCCGGAGUAGUCGUCCAGGAAACUCAAUAUCUUGUGGCCGGCCGCUCCGUCUACGAGCCGGUCGAUGUUAGGGAGGGGAUAUGAGUCCUUGGGGCACGCCUUGUUGAGGUCCUUGUAGUCUACGCACAUCGCCAUUUGUCGCUCGGCUUUUUAACCAUCACGACGUUGGCUAGCCAAGUGGAGUAUCGUGCCUCGGCUAUGAAGCCGGCUUUCAAGAGCUUCUCGGCCAAACUUCUGGCUGCCAAUCGCUUGUCUUCUCCAUGGUUCCUCUUCUUUUGUGCGACCGGUCGGGCUUCUUUGUAUACCACGAGGCGAUGGGUGAUGAUGUCCGGGUGGACGCCUGGUACAUCGGCCGUCGUCCACGCAAAUAGGUCUACGUUCCUCUUGAGGGUUUGGUGAACGAAUUCUGCAUCGGCGGCGGCCAUUGCCGUGCCUAUGCUUAUAUACCGAUCCUUCCCAUCGAGUUCGGCUUGUCGCAGCUCGUCCUUGGCCUCAAGUCUCGGCUCAAUCUCCCUGGGAUCCAGGUCUGCCAUGGUGAUGCCCUUCUUGGGUUGGGGCGAGUGUCGGCGGGGGCUUCUACCACGGCCGGCUAUCUUUCGCCUGGGCGAGCGGCUGUUGCUGGGCCCCUGUUGUGUGGGCUCGACCCGCAGGCUCUCGGCGUAACAUUCUCGGGCGACCUUUUGAUCUACAUGUAUGGUCAGGAUGUCGCCCGAGAAGGAAGGGAACUUCAUUGCCAGAUGGGGUGUGGAGACGAUCGCUCCAAGUCUGUUGAGGGAUGACCUGCCGAGGAGGAUGUUGUAAGACGUGUUGGCGUUUAUGACCAGGUAUCUAAUUUUGAGGGUUUUGCUAGCCCCUUCCAGGCCGAACGUCGUGUACAACUCUAUGUACCCCCUUGUCCCAACGCGCUCCCCUGAGAAGCCGACCACAUGGUCGUUGUAGGGCAUCAUUUCCUCCUCUGGUAUUCUCAUGGCUUUGAAGGUCUUCCAGUAUAGUAUGUCGACCGAGCUCCCUUGGUCCACGAGGGUCUUUUUGAUCGUGAAGUUAUCGAUGUCGACCGAUAUCACCAUGGGGUCGUCCUGGGUUGGGUCUAUCCCCUUGAAAUCUUCAUCUGUGAACGUGAUUGGUGGCAUCCUUGGUCGGACGAAGACAAGAUUUACCUGGUGGACGGCGCGGAGGUGCUUCUUGCGUGCGCUGUUAGUACUGCCUCCGCCACCGAAGCCUCCGGCUAUGGUGUUAAUCACUUCUCGGCCUCUGCGGGUGUCGGUUUGUGGGGGGUCGUCUCUUCGUCCCCGUCGGUCUCCCCGCCUGUCGCCAUCUCGUGGGCCUGGGGGGGUUCGGUCUCGUUGAUAAGUGUCUAAUUUCAGUAAUAUUUCAUAUUAAAAUAUAGGCACUUAUGAGGAUUUAUUGCUAAUUUACAUAUAAAAUAAUCCCUAAUUUAUGAAUUUAUACCUUUUUACAUUUUUUAUGAUCUUUAUUUGAAUAAGAGUAUUUUAUUCCCAAAUUUGGUGUUAAUUGCAGAUUUCUAAGGAAGAUUGGAGAUUUGGAUUAAAGAUUAAUGAUUUGAGCUAAAAAGAUAAAGAUAGAAGGUCCCAGAAUGGAAAAGAUGCAAAGAAAGAUUGGGCCUUUUUUUUAUGUUUUAUCAUUUAGCCCAUUAGCGCGACACAAUAAACAACCUAACCCUAGAAAACUAGGAUAAAUAGAGGGCUAGAGGCUCAAACUUAGUGUGCCAGAUUGAGAGGAAAACACCAUAGAGUGAAUUGUAACCCAAUUGGGAGAAUGGAAGGUGAUAGAAGUAUGCGUGGCUAAUUCUACCCUUUGGGAUU